GUGGGUCAUUGGUCCACACGAUAUUAAAUUACUUUUUUAAAGGGGAGAGGCCAAGACAGUAGCUUGCUACUGGGUCUCUCAUGUGUCGCCCAUGCGUUGCACUAUAGCUUUGGGCUUGGCACUCCCUCCGAUAAAAUUAAAGUUUUUCGAAAGAAAGAAAAAAUGUAGGGAAGUUAGUUUCUAAUACGUAUAGUCUUCCCUAUCAAAAUAUAAAAUCUUAUUUAUCUACUAAUACACAACCGUGUCUCGUAUGUUUUCUGUGGUGGUAGUUGAUGCGGGUUUGUUCUUCAUUAAACAGGUUUCACUGAUUUAUAUCAUUUUAAUAUUGGAUUCAGAACUUGGUACUCAAGUUGUGCAUUAGUAGAUUCAGGUUUAAGGUAUAUUUGGUGAAGGGAAAAGGAACAGGGGACAAAUGCAUGGCUCAAGCAUGACAGUCAAGUGAAUUGGCAAGGUAGGUGAGGAUGACCUCACAGAUGGUUAAACUAGCUUAGCAUGCCCGGAAGUAUUUGCGUUCGCGCGGCCUCCUCUUAAUUGAGUCUUAUAUUUUGUUGUUUCUUAUUCAAGGUUCUGUUGUACAUAUGAAACUUUUCUAAAGUAACGUACUGUAAGAUGGUAAUAAAACAUUUGGGAAAAAAUGGAAAUUAUAUUAAACCCAAAAUGAUACAAUAAUAAACGGGGCAUACCCCGCAGUUAAAGAAAAUCAAAAGUCUUCCUAAUACAAGAAGACAUAUAUCAAGAUGCUAAAACAAAUGCAACAUGUGCGUUUGUCUUAUACAUAAGAAACUUAAUCUUGCUAAUAACCUCUAUGACAGAAAAUUGAUAAUCUUAAAAAAUCAGCUUGUUCCUAGACAGCCAAAUGCAGUAGACUGUAAUUGCUAUAGCCAGGCAACGUAAUUUUUCUUGAACACCUGAUGUGGAUCUGCCCCUAAUUAAAGAGUCAGUAAUGCGCUGUAAAGAAGUGAAACGCCUGCGGAAAGGAGCCAAAUCACGAAUGUGAGCCCAAACUUGGAGAGAUUUUCUGCAAGAAAAGAAUAAAUGAGCAUUUGACUCAGGCUCAUUUAAACAUAAAGGGCAGAGGGAACCCUUGUUCAAAAAAGCAACUUUGUCAAGAGUAAGCAGCCGAUUCCUUUUAACAAGCCACAAAAUGAAAGACAUCUUAGGGGGGAUUGCUGGGUUCCAUAUAACAGAACACCAACUAACAGUAGGCUUGACACCUCUAAUGUAUUCAUAGACUUUGUCAACAAGCAAUUGUUCAUUGGUGCUCUAAGAUUGAAUCCUCUUUUUGGCCUCUUCCGUACUUAGCUCUUUAGAGAUAAUAAAGUCCCUUAUUUGAAUGAUUUUCUUUAUCAAAACUGAAUCUGAUGAAGAAGAAUUGUAAUUCCACACAUCGCUCCCUCUGAAAUAGUAAUGGUGAAUCCACCGAAUCCAUAGAGAAUCUUUCUUACAAUAAAAGUCCCACAGAAUACGGGAAAGAAGCGCAAGGUUCCAUAGUACUUUAAGACGUUGUUUAAUAGAUGACCGAAAGGCCAUAGAAGUGAAUCAGAUGGAAAUACUGGCCUUGACAAUAUAUUAGUUUCUAGCCCGUCAUUUUAUUAUUUUAAAUUUUAUAAAUCUUGUUAUACCUUUCUUUUUUAGUUAUUAAAUAACAUAUUUGGUGUUUAUGUAAUAUUUUUCGAGUAAUUCAAUGCACAUUGGCGAGUAAUUCAAGCCCCCAGUUUCAUUUAGUACCUUGGAACUAUACCAUUUUGGUCAUCUUGUAGUGGUGGUGCCCAGAAAUUAAUUUAUAAUAUAACCACAGCAUCAGGAACCAAAAUAAUGCAUAUUUGACCAAAAUGGCAAGGGUGGAUCUUUCCAUUUAUAAUAUAACCACAGCAUCGGGAACCAAAAUAAUGCAUAUUUGACCAAGAUGGCAAGGGUGGAUCUCUCCAGGAUUAGUCUCCGACCAUUCAAGAUGAGUGAUGUUGACGAUUUCUUGAUAUGGGCAGGGGAUGAUCAAGUGACUCGAAACCUCCGAUGGAAGACGUGUGGUUCAAGGGAAGAGGCUCUGGCCUUCAUAAGGGAUGUUUGCAUACCUCACCCAUGGCGUAGAUCAAUCUGCCUUGAUGACCGUUCCAUCGGCUUUGUUUCGGUGUAUCCUUGGUCGGGCGAUGAAAGGUGCAAGGCCGACAUAGGCUAUGCUAUUGGGACCAACUACUGGGGCCAAGGGAUAGCUACCAAAGCACUCAUGACUGCAGUGCCUCAAGUCUUCAAGGACUUUAACGAAUUGCUAAGGUUGCAGGCUUUUGUUGAUGUUGAGAACAAGGCUUCUCAGAGGGUGUUGGAAAAGGCUGGGUUCCUUAGAGAGGGUGUCCUCAGAAAGUACACUUAUCUUAAGGGGGUUGUUAAGGAUUUGGUUUUGUAUAGUUUUUUGUCAACGGAUGAAAUUACUUCUUGUGACUAGUUUAAUUUGUAGUAAUGUUUGGCCUUGUUUUGGUGCAAAUAAUGUAAAAUUCACUGUAAUAAUAUAUUUUUGCAUCUAUGUCCUUGGUUUUGUCAUGGAUAUGCGUGUUUCUGGCGUCCUUUCAUUUGAGAAUAUAGAGUUGGAUUUAACAUUGUUUAGUUUUGGAACGCAAAGCUAUGGCUUGGGAAAAACUUGUUUGUCCUUGCCAGCUCCAUGUUGCACACUUUGAAAAUAAUCCAUUAAUAAUACCCAAAGAGUGUUUACUCUAAUCCUUUUCAUGAAAGCAGACCAAUUAUACUCGUUUGAGACAGAUUCCUCCAUCUGAUGGUGUCGUGAUGUUUAACUUCAAUCCAUUAUAAACACAACUUUCUGCAAAAUUGUGUUUCCCUUGAUCACUAUCUGCAAAAUUGUGUUUCCCUUGAUCAUAUGGUUUACUGUUGUGCAUGUGGAAAACAUCACAAUCAUGGAUGUAGUAUGCGUAUGGACUUCCCCAAUAGUUUUUGAAUUUGACCCACUGAUUUUAAUACAUUGAUGCCUUCUCUGCUAUUGACAGUCACUUGUUUCACUUACUAUUUUGAUAUAGACAUUAACAUUAGACUAGGCUUUGUUAAUCCAAAGAUGCAAAGAUAACAACUAUUAUUUACAAAACUGAUACCUGGUAGUCUCACAUCGUUCAAAAUGCAUGCGGAUCUGGUUUAGUGCCCAACGAAUGCCAUGUUUUUGCACGCAAGGCGUCAUCUAUUUAUCAUUCUUUUUUUAUCUGUUUUUGAAACCAAUCAUUUUUUUUAUAUCUAAAAAUCAAAUUAUAUGAUAUUUUGCAUUUUUUCAAUUUACAUAUUUAUGAGAAUUAAAUAAAAUAAUAAUCAAAUUUUAAAAAAGAUUCUGUCUAUUUUAUAAUUUGAUUACAAGAUUAUAUAUAAACAUGUUACAUUAUAUUUUCCCACUGAAAACUUUUGGCCAAACUUUUAUAAAUGUUUAAUUUAUAUAUUUAUUGAAACUAUUACUUGUACUUAAGAUGCAUUUAAAUCUAUCUGCUUUUCUUUUUUAACAGCAUUUACACCUAUCUGUUUAAUAAAAAAUCGAUGAGCUCGAUAUUUAAUAUAAAUGAUCAACUCUUAUAUUGUACCCGUAAUUAAGGUAGAUCUAGUGUGUACCAUUAUAUCAAGGUGAUCAGAAACAACACGAAGUUAAGUCUUAAACAUACGAGAAAAACAUAUAUAAUUGGCUAUUUGCAAUUUGGUAUGGCAAUGAUCUUGUGACGAAUCACCCUGCGACCAUUCAAAUUGAGCGAUGUAGAUGAUUUCAUGGUAUUAGCAGGUGAUGAUAGAGUGACAAAGCUUUUGUUGCUGUGGAGAACAAAGCAUCCCAAAGGGUGUUGGAAAAGGCAGGGUUCGUUAAGGAGGCCAUACUCAAAGUAUUCCCAUGUCAAGGGGAUUAUUAAGCAUGUGGCUAUUUUUAGUCUUGUGUUACAGGUUACCCAUCCUCCAUUGUAACAACCAAUCAUUGGUAUGGGGAGUCUGAGUGGUACUUGUGGUAAUUCGUGAAAGCCAAAGUCAGUCUUCGUUUCUAGUCUUUUUGCAUUAGUUGAUUACUUGAUCUUUGCAGCAUCUGAAAAUGCUGCAUUCUGUUUCUGAAAGGUUGCAAAAUGCUAGUGUGGUAUCUUGACUAUUAAAUUAGUUCUCCCUAGAUAGAACACAAACCUGGUUCAGGUCAGAUAGCUUUAAAAAAUUGCUGUUGAAGUUGGUUGACGUUAGUAAAAUGUUAAAACUGCUGUUAAAGCAACCCAAACUGCCUAUUGUAUUAAACUAAAACUUAUUUCAAUAUCUUAUCCUAAGCUUUCAGAUUUAUGGUCGAACUUGUAUUCAUAAAUUUUUGCUUACUGUCUUACCCUUCUAAAUUGAUUAUAUUUCUUUUCACCCUAUUUAAUCUUGUAGUCAUUUAGGAUAAGUUAUAUCAUAACUAGCUUGAUAAAUCUAUAAAACAGUAGGCAAGAAAUUAACCUAAAUUCACAUAUAUAGAGAAUAUCUUCAAGGUCCCGAACUGAUAAACCAAAACAGUCCAGGUUAGGCUUUUAAAUGUUAAUGAUAUUUUGGGUUAGAGUCUUUUAAAUGUUCUCUGUUCGAGUUCAGGUUGGGCUUCAACACCAACCGAACCCAUGUACCCCCAUAUUACACUUCCUAUGUGAUAUUCACUGUGUUCAUAAAUUAUAUACGGAGAAAAGAAAAGGAAAAGAUUAAGAUCGUUAGUAAUUAAACAAAUAUUUAAAUACACUACGUGCCAGAGUGUAGAGUCCCACAUGUUAUCCAAAGUAACAAAACAAUACAUGUAACACUGCAAUCUGAUAGCAAUACCACAGUAGUAGACCACAAAGGAACACCAAGAGGCCCAGGUAACUUGGCCACUACGCGUAAGGAGGCAGCACUAGGAAAUGGACAAAACAGAAUAACAGAAUACCUUCUAGAUAAUAGUAACAAAGAAAUCUCUUGGUUUUCCCUUGUGAUCUGCUACUGUGGUAUUGCUAUCAGCAACAAAUCUUUGUUAGUAGUAUCUAGAAGAUAUUCAGUUAUUCUAUUUUGUCCAUUUCCUAAUGCUGCCUCCUUUGUGGUCUGCUACUGUGGUAUUGCUAUCAGCAUCUUCUACUUUUAGUUUUAGCUUGUGAUAUUGAUUCAUAUUGCGGUGAGCUGAUGAUGAUACUCAUGUCCCAUCUGUUGCAUCAUCAAGUAGGACCACAGGGAAAGACAGAAUUCAAGCAUCGAGAAAUAGAACAUGAACUCAUUGUGGAACCCAAACAACUGAACAAGUUAAUUAUCAUGUAUAAGUGAUUUGUUAGCUUGUAGCUUCCUCACAAUGGAUUAAAAUAAUACUACUAGUAUAAAGAUACUUGGUCUUACAAAGAUCAGAAAUAAUUGAAUGUAACAUAAUAAUUAAUAUGUAAUGAUUUAGUCCACAUAAAUUGUAUAAAUUAAGUUCAUAUGAAUUUCUCAAGAAAAAGGGAUAACACUAACAAGUUAGUUAAAUACUAAAUGGUGGCAGGACAGGACAACAUGGACGUUCCAAGCCAAGUUAAAAUCAUUGUCAACUCUUUUCUUUCUUUUUUCUAAGUCUAGAUCCUUUAUUGAAUUAAAUAAUUCUAUCCCUUAAAUAAAUUCAUUUGACUAACUUUCAAAUUAUCAAGACUUAAGUACGGUACCUUCAAACAAUGAAGUUUUUAAACAAAUUUUCGCAGUCCAGUCUAAAAAAAAUCUAUAAUUAAUCCUGUCUAUUAUUUUAUUUGUUUUCGUUUCUCUACAUGUGAAGGCUAGCAAGGUAACAUUUUAACCUCUUUUAUAAAUAACCUAUUAGAACAAUCUAUAUUACUAUUAUUGAAGAUUCAAGCAACAUAGUUCUUUCUUAUGUCACGUUUUACUCCCCUAAUAAGUUCCUCCCAUAAAAAUUUAAUUAUAUAUAUUUUCAUAAUAUUUAUAUUUAUAUUUAUAAUAUCCUUAAUCUCAAUUGGAUUCAAGGCAAUUAAUAUUACCUCUAUGAUAAUUAUUUUCCCUCUAAAAAUCAAAUUAUAAGAUGUUUUCCUUUUUUUUUAAAAAAAAUCUGAGACUUUAUUUUACUCUUGCCAUUUCUCUCUAAAUGUAAGGAUCUCUUGAUGUUUCUUGCUAUAUAUAUAUAUAUAUAUAUAUAUAUAUAUAUAUAUAUAUAUUUAUUUAUUUAUUGAUAUAGUAUAUACAUGUAAAAUUGAUUUGGAUCUUAUAAAAUAAUUUAUUAUUUGAUUCAUUUUUUUUAGUUUUAUUCAUAAAUUAAUAUUAAUUUAUUUUUUUAUUGUGUUUUAUGUAUAUAGAUAUAUAAUACAAUAAAAAUGAAAAUUAUAAUUAAAAACAAAAAUAAUUUAUAUUUUGUUAAAGAACAAAAUAUUUGUUAUGCUUAAUAUCUUUAGUUUGGUCUAUUUUUGAAGUUUAAAAAGUUAAAUCGAGGUAGUAUAAAAAAAUUUAUUCUAUUAUUCAAUAAUAAAUUUAUCAUCCAUAUAUAGUGUUCUAUGAUUGAGUGUAAUGUUACACUGUAAAUGUCUUUUUUUCUCAAAAAAUAUCUAUAGGUUAAAUAAAAAAAUUGAUUUGCCUAAUAUUUAAUAUAAAUUAUCAUUUUUUUAUUUAACAUAUAGAUAUUUUUUGAUAGAGUGUACUAUAUGAUCGUGAUCAGAAACAGCAUGAAGUUAAAUUUUAAUCUUAUAUAUACCACACAAACGUUGGCUAUUUGCAUUUGGGGUAAGGCAAUGAACUUGUCGCGAAUCACCUUGCGGCCUUUGAAGCUGAGCGACGUAGAUGAUUUCAUGGUCGUAGCUGGUGAUGAUAGAGUGACUCGCUACACCCGAUGGAACACUUUUGUUUCGAGGGAGCAAGCGUUGACUUUCAUUCGAGAUCAUCAACAUCCAUGGACUCGCGCCAUAUGCGUUGACGAUGUAACCAUUGGAUAUGUGUCGGUGUCUCCUGGAUCGGGUGAUGACAGGUGUAGGGCUGAGAUUGGCUGUUACAUAGCUACCGAUUACUGGGGCCAAGGGAUUGCCACCGAAGCAACGAAGAUUGCUGCGUCACAAGUCUUCAAGGAUCUCCCUGGCUUGGUGAGGUUACAAGCUUUUGUUGCUGUAGAGAACAAAGCGUCCCAAAGGGUGUUGGAAAAAGCAGGGUUUCUUAGGGAGGCCAUACUCAAAAGGUAUGCGUAUGUCAAGGGAAUGAUUAAGGAUGUCGCUAUUUUUAGUCUUGUGUUACAGGAUACCCAUUCUUCUUCAUUGUAAACAUAAUUGAUAUUGUUAAAAGAUAAAUAUUAAUAAGUAUCUUUAUGGUAUUACUCGUAGCUAAGGUGUUUAAUAUAAAAAUAUUUUGUUGAAAUAUGUAAAAUUGCGUGUUUUUUAUUAUUAAUUUUGUAUUUUUUAUGACUUUUAUAAUAAUUAAUUUUUAUUUUUAGUUCCUUAAUCUUAAUCGCUAUCAUUAAGGAAUUAGUUAGUAACUUGUUAAAAUAUGGAGUGGGAUUUAAUUGGGUAGGUUAUUUUGUUAUCCGAGUUGUGACUUGCUAUUAAUAUGAGUUGUAUAGUCAGUCUUGGUUUGUAAUCUUUUUGCAUUAAUUUAUCUUAGCAGCAUCCGAAAAUUAAAUGCUACAUUUCUGUUUCUGAAAAGGUUGCAAACAGAAACUAAAAAGUGUUUAUCAUGAUUGUAUAAAAAAUAUUAUUUGUUUAAAAAUAUGACUAUAUUAAUUUCUUCUUGGCACCGUUAUCCCAAACUCCCAUUAAUAGCAUUUUGGUGUAACGUUGGAUCUAUUUGCACACUCGGGAUAGAAAGAAAGAGGCAUGAGGCAUGUGUAGACCGCCAACAUUAUUCACUUGCCCAAAAGAUGCGGGAGCAAGCCAAGGAGUUCGAGGCAAGUUCAUUCCUGUGACAGACACCAACAUUAUUCACUUUCUUAUUGAUAGAUCGAUGUGCAAUCACAAGCACUAGAAAAGCUAACAAAUUUGAUUUGGUGGAAAAGAAAGGUCAAAUAUUGAUAUAAGGGUAUUUUGACUAUUAAAUUAGUUCUCCCUAGAUAGAACCCAAAGCUGGUUCAGAUCAGAUAGUUGAUUCAGGUUAGUAAAAUGUUAAAAGUUAAAACUGCUGUAAAACGUAACAAUCCAAACUGCAUAUUGUAUUAAACCAAUUACAACCAGGUAUAUAUAAUAACGAUGCCUCCCCCCUUAUAUGUCAAUGAUAAACUACAAAUUGAACAGACAAAAGAUCUCCCCCCUACAAUUGAUAAAAGAUGAAAACCAGAAAGUUUUGAAUUCUCCUUAAAAAAUUGUGAUGAUAGUAAAACCUUUAAUGUCAAACUGCUCCCAAUAAAUGGAGUAUGUAUAUAUCCUCUCCAGUUUAUCAUUUUAAAUUUACGUUAUAGUAUUAUUUUAUUUUAAUUUUGUAUACUUUUUAAUGCUUAAUAUUAUAAUUUUCAAAAAAAUUAUAAUUUUUUAAUAAAAUAUAUAAGUCCAAUUUACCAUUUAUGUAACUCUUUUUUUUUUUACUGCAACCAUUUAUGUAACUCAAAGUGUCGAACAUUAGAUGUUUUGUUUACUUCAUUAGAUGUAUAUAUCACUUUGAAUUAAAAUUUUAUUUUAACUAAUAACUUGUACACCAUAAGUACGACUUCACUUAUAUUUAAACAAUUAUACUAGUUAAGUUUUUGAAAGUAAGUUAUGCCAGGUAAAACAUCCAAAAUAAAUAGAGUAGUGCAUUUCUUUUAUUUGACAUUGAUAAUUAAUUUAAUAUUUAGUAAGGAUAUGUUUAGGUGAGAUUUUAGAGGAAAUGAAGGAAAAUAUAUUUUUUCUUUAAGAUAAGGAGGGUUAUAUAAUAUUUAUAGAAAUAAAAAGAUUAAGACAUUAAAUUUAUAUUAAUAUAUCAUUUUUUUUUCAUUUUAAAAAUUUAACAAAUUAAAAAAUAAUAGUAAUUACUAAAAGUUAAUCUCUAAAACAACCUAAAUCUGACCCCAAAUUAGGACAGAACAUAUUGGUCGAAGUACACACAAAUCAUGAUUUCUUUCUUGGUUUACAUUGACAUUAAUUGAACAUGAUUUACCUGCUCUAACAAAUUCCUCUCUUACAUCUAUAUGUUAUUAACAAGCAUUUAGCCAAAUGUGCAACUACCCAUAUUCUACUUUACAUAUUACAUCACUUGCACCCACGAACCCGAACUUGGCACACCCUUAUGAACCACAAACAAAAGGUAAUACCCCGGCGGCGCAAUCUCCGCCGUGGAAGGCCCUACCACGGUGGCAUAAUAAGCCUCGCCGGCCAGAUACGUCACCCCACUCAACUUCAACACCACCAUCCUCUGAUUCUGUCCAAAAGAGUGCGUAGUAAACGACGGUGCCACGAUCUUAACCGAAACCUCACUAGCCGAAGCAAAAUUAGGCACCGUGAAUGUGACGUAACAAAAGACCCUAUACCCCAACACAUUGUUGUUCGUAAUAUACCUAAUCGUUGGCCGCACCGGAUCGAAAUCCAGCGCCAAAUACGGCGGAGAAAACGCUUCCAAGCUAAGAUCAGUGGGGUACUCAACCCCGGUGAAAUUGUAAAAGACAUGUGGGUUGCUACCACCAACUAAAACUCUUCCAUCUCUCAAUAACACCGCUGAAGAGUGAUAUAACCUAGGUCUUGACGCUGGUGCCAUCACACUAAACCGAUUCACCGUCUCCGAUGGCCGGAAUAACACAGGCGUCAAGACCGGGUCAUGGCCAUGUUCCCACCCGGCGGUCCCGGCCCCUACGCCGUUAGUUAUAACGACAUCUCCAUUAGGGAGAAGAAGCAUGUCUCCCAUAGCUCUUGGCAUUGGCAUGUUCUCCAUAACCCAAUUAGGGUUAGGGUCAGUGACUUUGAUCCUCCCGCACGUGCCAAGGGCUUGCACGAAGUUCCCACGUGCGGCACUCUCAAACGAGCCACGUGGCGCUCCGCCGCACACCACAACUUCAGCUUCGAGGGAAGCUAAGUUUUCGUCUAGUGGGAGAAGAACGGAAGAACCCGAGCUAGGGUAGUUACGAGGAUCACCACCUGGGAUUGGAGGAAACUCUUUGAUCACACUGUUUUGUUUGUAGUCGAAUAACACGGAUUUUGUGUUGGCGAAGAUGAAUAGGUUUCCAUCGGGUAAAAGGUGCACGAAAGGGUAUAAAUUAUUUUCACUUCUAUCGCUGGUUUGUUGGAGAAAGUUAAGUGGAAUAGACGAGGGAGAACUGUUAGGGCUAGGUGUUUUAGGUAAGAAUUCAUAGUUGAAUUGUCUUCUACCUCCAACAACAAUUACACGAGCAUCUGGGAGUAUUUGGUUCGUUGCAUACCAUCGUCUUUGUGACAACAAACCUGGGAAUUCGACCCAAUCGCAUGUUUCAUCGAAGCAUGGGGUGAACAUGCGAAUGCUACGUUCACCGUCGUUGUAGCCACCGGUUUGGAUCAAUGUGCCGUUGGGGAGAACCGAGCCCGAGGAACACCAGGUGUCAGUUUGAAUCAUUAAGGGUCGAAGAGUGUUUGUGGGUACAUCGUAUAGUACGGAGUGAGCGGAACAAUCAACUUUUAGGGCAAUGUCGUUGGGGUCCAUGCGGCAACGGCCAUUGGAAAGAGGGAGGUACGAGUGGCCAAAAUCGGUUCGGUCGAACAUGAUGAUCUUGUCGUUGUGGAGAAGUUGCAUGUGCAUUGCUGAUAUGCCAACGCUUGGUUGCACGAGAUUCCAUUGGCCUUGGUUCGCGAAGGUUGAUGAAAGAGUCUGAGCUUCAAAAUAGGGAAACAAUGAAGCUAGUAUAAAGGGUAUUAGGAUCAUGAUCGUGAUGGUGCUCAUAGUGGGUAAUUAAUUAGCAGAGAGAAGGAGAAGUAUUGGGAGAGUGUGGUCGAGUUUAUUGGUGAAGAGUUGGUGGGGUUGGGGAUUGAUUUAAAAACUAGGAAAUGGAAUUUAAUUUAUAUAUAUUUGCACAGAGUAAAAGCAUGCGUUGAUAUGAUAAGGACAUAUUGGAUAAAGUUUGCAAAGUUUGCAGAUUAAACUUACGUUCCUUGCCCCUCAAAAUCAUCAAUUGAAAAAUGUUUCAUGACACCAAUUAUGUUAUGGAACACCUAGGAAGAGAAAGAAAAAUAUAGGUAUUAUAAAAUAUAAGAUGUAAUAGAAAGAGAGAAAUAGAAAAAAAAAUUGAUAAAUAUAUAUUGGUGAGAUGUUUAAAAUAAAUGGAUGUUUAUAUAUCAUUACUUAUAAUCAAUUUGUGCUUUCUAUUCCAAAUUUGCAUAAAAUUGUUCUGAAAUGAUCUUGUCUACUCCAACAUAUUUUAGUUUAAUUUUUUUUUAGUGAAAUACAAAAUUUAUUACAUCAAUACUGAUAUCUUUAUAAUUCAGUCCAGCAUCUAAAGAAAAAAAAAAGUCAUGUAAUACUACGAUGACCAAAAGCACACAAUAUAUAGUGAUAUUUGAGGGACUAAAUAUGUAAUUAGUCGGUAGCAUAUCAUAUUUUUUUAUACUAUAAACUAAAUUACAAUGUGUUCUGUUGUGAAGAAAAAAAGGAGAGAACAUGAAAGUGAAUAUGUGAAAAGAAGGGGGAAAAAGUGAGAAAUAAGGUUAAAAUAGAGGUUAUAUCUAGUUGAAGAGAAAUGAAAUAGAAUAGAAAACAAAUAUUUGAAUUAAAAAAUUUUAGUACUUAAAAAAACAUAUAUAUUAAAUAAAAUAGACUUUUAUCCUUUGCUAUGGUUGGCGCUUUCAUUUUAAAUAUAUGUUGUUGUUAAUUAAAAAAAUGAUUAUGUUACUAAUGUAAUCAAUUAUUUUCUUCACAAAAAGGAGGGGACUUAGGGCAAAAAUGUAACGCGGUUGCCAAUAGUUUACAUUUUCUUCAUUUUUCUUCUCAAUCUUUAUUUCUAUAAAUUGAAAAUUCUGAAAAAUGGAAAGUUAAAAAAUCAUUAUAUAAUAAUACAAAAAUUACAAUAGAAAAAUAAUCUAAAAAUUAUAAUAGAAAAAAAGUUUGAAAUGAUUUUUCAAUCUUUUAUAUUAGUAUUCUUAUGCAUGGAAAUAAUUAAUGGAGUGAAUUUUUUUUAAUGUGGGAGUUACAUCAUUUUUUGAAAAUUUUCACGUCAUUUUUGUCUUAUCAAACAAAUGAAACUGUGGCUCUUCCACCGUCACGCUCCUCCUUUCCUUUACACGGAAUCAACUUAACUUGCUUACCAAACAAAACAUUAAUUAAAAAAAUCACACCAUUAGUGUAGUGUGUUAGGUAAGGGGUUGUAGGUUCAAACUUUAAUUUAGUUAUUGUGAUGUUAGACUCAACUCUAGGACUAAAUGCAUGCAAUAUUUAAUUAGAAAAGGGAACCAUAUACAUUUAUGGAUUAAAAAUUAUAGAACGAUAAAUAAAAAAUUCAAUUUUUUUGUAUAAUUUGUUUUUAUUUUUCAACAAUCAUGCCAUUUGUUCCUUUUAUAUAGAAAUUCUAAUAUUAUUAAUUAUUGUAAUUUGUAAACUACACUCACUUAAAAAGUCUAUGCAUCCCACAUAAGAGGACUGGUUUUAAAAAAACAAAAUUCAAUUUUUAUGGAAAAAUACUUAAAUGUGAAAUAGGUAAUUGUUUUUCUUGUAGGGUACGUAAUAAUUGGCUGUAGCAUGGAAUGGUAGACAUGAAAAGAUGUCUCGCCACUAUCUCAUUACGAAUACAAUCUGAAUGCAACGAAUAAUCGGCUCGUUCAGAAUCACACAUGAUUUGGAAUUACAUAAUUCCGACCACAUACUCAACGUCCCACACUAGAACCGAAUACAGUUAGCCACGCAAUCCAAAAGCACAUACUCCUCAUCCACGUUGGAUUUUACAUUUUUUGCCAAUUCCAAAGCAUACCCUAAUGGAUUCUCACGUAACCUUCGUGAUGUUUUUACUGCGGCUGAGAGCACAAAUUCAUUACCGUAAUAACCCUUAGGCAACGGAGGGUUCACCUUGGUAGUAAAGUUAACGGUGUAAAUGAAGCGAACACCAUCAUCAGGGUCAAGUUGCAAUGCUCUUAUGCGGCAUCUCCACGUGCAUGCGAUGAUGACCUCAAAAGUGGUGCAUCUACCAAGAUGUUUGGGAACCAAACUACGGAGAGAAGCUACCUCGCUAGGUCCGAAGAAGAAACAACGUUGCAGUCGUUUAAUGGGAUCAUUGUGUCUUUGGCUUUGUUUUCCACUUCGUAUUCGUGAUGGGUGCGUGAAAUUCGAGGUGGUUGCCUUCAAGAGCUCCCUACACUACAAUGGAGUGAGGGAAGGUUCCUUUGGGCCACGGGCGAUUUCGGCCAAAGGCUUUCAUGAAUCCGUCGCUCAUGCUGAAAAUGAAACAGCCACACUUGACCCGCGUUACCUAUCAUUAGCAUUCGUAGGUUAGUGUAGUUUGAAAAAUACUACCUUCUCGGGUGGUAGAUGAACAGUGCAAAAUAUAAAGAGCAAGCUACUCUCCAUUUUCGAUACAACUCCGGCCAAGUUACUAACUAUUUCCUCUAAUAAACAUAAUGUCGAGAUAAACUAUAUAAAUAAAGAAUAAUUCUCAUCUUACAAAUUAAUUUUAUAAUAUUGAAUUAAACUCAUAAAAAACUCACUUAUGAUAUUAAGUAUAAAAGAAUAAAAUAAAAAAUAUUUUUAUUUCUUUUAAACAUUUAUAAACAUGUUUAAUCAACUUAAAGAAAAUAAUAUAUAUAUAUAUAUAUAUAUAAUAUAAUCCAUAAUUUACAGAUACAUAUGAUUUUUAAUUAGUUAAUAAUACAUUCCCAUUAAUCUCACAAUUUUAUUUUAAUUUAUUAAAGCGAAUUUUAAUUAAAUUUACACACCCUUUUUUAUGGGAUUUGUUAACUACGCGUCUAUUUCUUUUUUAGAAUUAUACAUAUAUAACAAUUUCUACAACCAUUUAAACAAUAUUAUAUUUUGUAUUUAUCUCUCUCCUCUACUAUAUUAUUUAUUACAUUUCAAAUUUAAAUUUAUCUUCUUUUUUGUCUUUCUCUCUUUUGUUUAUAUAUUUUAUUGUACAUGUAAAAUUCCUUUUUUUUAGAUAAAAUAUGUUAGUAAAUUAUAAUCUUAAAAUAUGUUGGCAUAUAACUUGCUAAUAUGUUUCAACUAAAAAAAUAAUUAGUACAUAUACAUUUAAUUGUGAAAUUUUACUAACGUACAUCCACUUAUUUUUAGUUGAAAUACAUUAACAAAUUAUAAUUAAAUAUUAUGUUUUUCAAAGUACACUCACUGGAAUUUACUAACGUACUUUAACUAAAGAGGGUUGAUGUAUGUUAAUUAAAAAAAAAACUUUCUUAUACUGUAUUUAUAUAAAAAGGUUAUAGAACCUAUAAAUUUAUCUUUGUAUUUUUAAUAAAUGACUUAAAUAUAUUUUUCAUCCUUGUAAUAUAUCACUUUUUUAUAUUGUUACUUAUUAAUUUUUUUUUAUUAUCUGAUAUUUUUAAAUUUUUACAUUUCACACUUACUAUUAGUCUAAAUCCUUUAAAUGAUGAGGUGAUAUUUUGUUAGUUUGACAUUAGUUGAUGAUUUGACAAUUUAUUAAUUUAUGACAUCAUAACUUAAGAGAUGGAGUCUUACCCCAUAUACCAAAUGAAAAAAUCUAAAAAAUGUCAGAAGAUAUAAUAAAAUAAAAAACAUGAAAAAGUAAUUCGGCAAGAAUAUCUGUUUUCCCCUAGUAUAUAAUUAAAAGGAUAUACUAUUGUAUUAUUAUGCAUGCUUUAAAAUUACAUGUUUAUGUCUUAAAGAAUUAUCCAAAAUAUAAUUAGAAAAAAUAAAUAAUUUUAAUGUAAAAUAUUACUAUAUUAUUUUUUUACAGCAAUAUUGUAUCAUUAUUAAAAUCUCAAAUAUUAUAGAUGGAUGAUAUAAUUUAUAUAGACAUUUUAAAAUAUUAUUAAUUUAAUUUAAAUAUAAAUAAUUUCUCCACAAAAUGUAGAUAAUAUUUAUUUAAAAUACAAAAAAUAAUUAAAUUUAUAAUUAUUUUUAAAAAAUAUUUUUUAAUAGUGUUAUAUUUUAAUUAAUUUUAUUAUAUUAUCUACUUCCUAAGAGUGAUGCAUAAUGCCUUGGUUGCAUUCAUUAUUUUUAUGUGAAUUAAAUAUAUUUUUAGUCUAUCUAAGUUUACAUUUUUUUCAAAUUUGAUCUUUGUAAGUUUUUUUUUUAUUUUUAGUUCCUAUAAAAUUUCAUUUUUUCAAUAUUGAUUCAUGUAAGUUUUUUUUUUUAUUUCAACUCUUUUAAUAUUUUAUUUUUUCAUUUUUAAUCCCCGUAAAUUUACAAUUACAGGAAGCAAAAUUUUUAAAAAAUAAAAAUAAAUUUACUGUGACUGAAAAUGAACAAAAUAACAUUCAAGGACCAAAAUUGAAAAACAUAACUCAACUUUUUUUUUAUUUCCCCUACAUUAACUCCCCUUUAAGUUUGAAAACAUUAUACUAAUACCUUCUUAAACCUUACACUAACACCUCUAUAAGGGAGACGAAAAUAAUAGUUAAAAAGCAUAAGUUACUUGUGUAAUUACACCAAACUUCAAAAAAUGUUUAUGUAAUUUGUUCUUAAUAUAAAAAUAUAAAAGUCUAAAUUAAACUUUUUAAAAGAUAAUAUGUCUCAAAAUAAAAAUACCAAACUAAAUAUAAUCAAAAUAUAUACAAAAUUAUAAUGUAUAUUCUAGUCUAAACCAAACGUGUCAUCCAACUAACAUUUUGAAAAAACUAACAAAUAUGAUGAAAAAAAAAAUCAAAGACUUUUAUUUUUAUUUGUAUGAAUAAGAGAAAAGUAUAAAAAAUUUACAAUAAUUCACGCAUUUUACUCAAUUACAACAUUUCACUUCAUAUUUCUUACUUAUUUUAUUCUUUUCUACCGAAUGAAAAGUUUCAUAAUGAGCUACCGAUGAAACCAAACACGCCAUCAAUAAAUAUUGUUUAAAAAUAAUAUUAUUAAUUUAAUUAUUUAAACAAGUUAUGUUUCAUUAAUUUUAUUAACUUAUAUAUAAAUAAUUCCUCCAUAAAAUGUAAAUAAUUAUUUUUAAAAAAUAUAAAAAUAUGGGUUUAAAUUUAAAAUUAUUUUAAUAAAAAUAGAAAUCUCAUUAUGUUACUUCAAUUUUAAACAACUCAAUUUUUCUUUCAAGAAAACUUGGAUACAAUUUCACGGGUAAUGUUAGUGUUAUUUUAUAGUUAGAAUUGGAGUUCUACCUCAAUAAUUUGCAUAAUGAACAACUUCAUUAAAUGUCAACAAAAUUUGCAUAAUGAACAACUUCAUUAAAUGUCAAUGUAAAUUGUUGAGGUAAAAUUUUAAUUAUAAUUGGAGAACAAUACUAACAAUACCAAUAAAAUUGUAUCUAAAUUUUAUCCUUUUUCGUCCAAUGGAAAUUCCUAUUAGCAAAUGCUUAGCCCAGUCUAUCCAAAAAAAAUAAAAUUGUUUAACUGACAAACAUUCUCUCUCUUCAACCUUGCACAUUUUCUCUCUUAUAUUUAACACUACUAAACAACCCACAAGGAAUAAUUGCUUUUACAAAUAAAUAACUCUUUUCAAUUUAAAGUAAUCCAAAAUCACAUUUGACACAUUAAAAUUAUAUUUUUUUAAUAAUAAGCAAUUUUUUUUUUAGAUAAAAGUUUAGGUGUUGUUUCAAUGACUCAUUUGAGAUAAGACAUGUCUAAAGUAAUGUUUACAGAAGUACUUAUAAAUUUUUCAUCAAUCAAAUUCUCAAAUUGACAAUGACAAUUAAAUUCAAAUCUUUGUGAGAUAUGAGUUUGUUCCCUACCAACUCUAACCUCCAUUUACGUUGCCGUUUAUUUUUUGCAGUGAAGAUAGCAAAUUUCAGGAAAAGGGAUCAUUUAAAAAAACUACUAAAGGGAUCGGAGUAUACUUUGUAAUUAAAGAGGGUGUAAUUAAUAAUUACCCGGUCCGUAUCUUAGAACAUCUUGGUUGAUGGAGGGCGCAAUUCGUAACAUCAUCUAUUAAUUAACGAGCUUGACAUUUUUUUUUUUUACAAAUGCUCAUCGUUUAAGAAAUUAAAAGAAACAAAUAUUUUUAUUGAGAUGCAUAAAAUUAUACUGUUUAUAAUAUUUUUUUACGUUUUCCUAUAAUCUUCUCAAUAAAUAUUUAUUUUAGUUCUCUAAUCAAUGUCUUAAGAUACCGUUUAGCAAGACCUUAUUUUUUAGAUAAAUGCUAAUUAAUACCCUUAAGAUAUUGAUUUAAAAACUAAAAAAAAUUAUUAAGAUGCCUAAAAUUACACCUUAAAUAACUUUUUUUUAUGUUAUUCUAUGAUUUUUAUAAUAAAUAUUUUUUUUAGUUUCUUAACCAAUUUUCUAAGGAUAUUAGUUAACAAAAUUCUUUUUUGUUGCAAGAAACUAAAAAAAAAAAGUGUUUAUUCAAUGUGGGAUUGGUGAAUAGUGUGUUUGUGUUUUUCUUCUUUAAAUGUAUAAAAAUCAAAGACAAGUAUAAAGGAAAUUUACAAUAAUUUACACACAUUGUUAGAUUAGAUUUUCUUAGUGUUUUGUGCGGUUGAUGAAUGCCUUUUUACUCAGUUUAUUUUCAAAAUUAUUACGGUAAUUCGUUAACACAGUGUAAGGGUGGGAAUAUAAAAAACAUGUUCGAACCGUUUCCGAAUUGCAUCGAGAUGAACUGGUUUCUGAAUCAAACAUGUUCGGUUAAAUAAAAUUAAAUCGAUUUUUUUGCUAAAACUAAAAUUGUUUUUAAAACCAAUUCGAUUCACUUAGUAACUGAAUAAUUUUUUAGCAAAAACUGAAAUUAUUUUUUUAAAGGAAAAAAAAACAGUUUGUAAAUUAAUUCGAUUCUUAAAAUAGAUUCAAAACUGAUCUGAAACUAGUUCAGUUUUCGAACCAGAUUUGAAUUGAUUUUGAAUCAAUUUUUUUAAACUAAUUGAUUUUAAAAUAUUAAUUUUUUCCUUGUCAUAAUGUCAGUUAUUGAUUCCUAAUAUUAUCUUUUGCCAUUUAGGUUUAAAUAUCCAUUUUUUAAUUAUAUUUCCAAUUAUUUCUAUCUUUCCCUAAAAUGGACACAUUAACUUGUAAAAUGAAAAAUACAAUCGAUGAUUGAUCAGUGUCACGUAUGUUGCAUGGGUUACUACACUAAUUUCUUAAUUAUUUCCAACAAUAAGGAAGAGUUUCAUAACGAGCUACAAAUGAAACCAAAUCGGAAAUACUAAACCUUCUUCUCCUUUUGCAUUCUUAAAUGGAGUUAGAAACGUUACUCCUGGAAAGGGCCCAAGCCCUCCUUGAGCGUAGACAUGGCAAGAAAACCCGUAUCCGUGGGUACCCGUCUGAAUCCGUCCCGACUUUGACGGGUAAUACCCGAGUUGACCGGGUAUGGGUACGGGUUCGGAUUUUCCCCGAUAACCAAAAGUCGGGUAUGGGUACGGGUAUGAGAUUACUAGACCCGUCCCGACCCCGACCCCGAACCCGCCCCGCCACUUAAAAUCUUUAGAAUUUUUGCAUAAUUUAAUUAAAAGGCAUAUAAUUUUUAUUACUAGUUAAUUUUAUUUUAAAACUUUUACAUAAUUUAAUAUUAUUUUUUUAACUAUUUAUGUAGACACACGUGUUAUAAUAAAUUUAUUGAUAUAUAAGUAGUUAAAAAUAAAUGUUUAACAAUCAAUUUAUUUUUUUUUAAAAUCAAAUUUUUAAUAUUUUUUUACAAAAAAAAAAUAUUUUUCUAAAUGGUGUGUGGAACGGGGUUAGGGAUACCCGAUACCCGACGGGUACGGGGAUGGGACAAUAAAUUCAAACCCGUCGGGUGUCGGGUACGGGUAUGGGAAUAUGUCGAGGAGUCGGGGUAAGGGAUUGGGAGACAAUAUCCGUACUCGACCCGCCCCAUUGCCAUGUCUACUUGAGCGGGAUCAAAUUUUCUCAAAUCUGAUACAGUAAGAGACCUCACCAUUAUUGGUAUGUAUCGUCCCUUAAUAGCCAAUUGAUCUGCCAGAGAGUGCAUGUACUCACCUUUCACUUGGUUGAUUAACUCCUCCAAUGGAUUCCCACGAAGCUUCCCUGCAGUGGUAACUGCCGCAGGGUAACCGAGGAUUGAACUUAGCACGUGCGAACAUCCUCAUCUGCAUCUAUCUUCAAUAUAAUGCUUUUAUGUGGCAGCGCCAUAAGAAUGCUGUGAUGAGAUCAAACGUGGCGCAACGGUGAAGGUGAUGCUAUUUGCAUGUGACGCGUGGUGGAUCUCUUUCCAUUUCAGCCCUAACGUUCAAGAAUCGCACAAGACCAGCUGCAUGAGGGCCAGGAUAAAACCACCACACUUGAGUCGAGUAACCUGUUAUACAAUUAUAUAGCCAACAUCAAGUAAUUAUGAUAGAAAAAGAUAAGAGUGUAAAUAGCAAACAAGUGACGUUGAAACUUAAGGCAAAAAUAUAUUAGUGAAUUGUGAAUAAUAAUGUGUAUUGGACCUGUAUGAGUAGAAGGGGAGUGUUAGUAAUUUCUUCAGUCUCUGGAACAUUAUAUAGAAGUUCUUGGAAGCAUGGGAAUGGAGGUUGGAGAGCUUCACCACCAAACUGAUAAAGUGUUACGUCUGCAUCAGCCUCAAUGAACAUGACGCCCUCCCCAGUACAAUCCACCAUUAAUUUGCGGUCAGGCCCCUCCCUAAGCCUACCCGCAGUGCUUUCCGAAUGACUUGAACUGGGUCUUUCUCUGCCAGUGAAGGUUGGUUACGAUAAACUUGUAUCGUUGGAAUGUGGAAACGAAGACCUUCUUGAUCAUCUAUGUCGGAUAAUGGUUUAAGUUGGUGGGGAGUGGGUGUAGCAGGAGCCACCAACUCAGGUUGGCACCUCCGUACUGUAAACAUUAGAGAGGGCCAUGCUUAAUUAUCAGAGAAUUAUGGGCAUCCUUUAACAUUGUUGGGAAUGUGAGAUGAACAAAUAGGAAACUGGUAUAGUGUAAAGCACAAAAGGAAAGGAAACCCUAUGUUUUGCUUUCUGGAAAGGGUGGGUGUACACGAACCAGGAACAAUGGAGAAGGGAGAAAGACGGUCACGUGACCUGCUGGGCUCAACUGUUCUAAACCGUUAGAUUUAAAAAGAUUAAACGGUUAAGAUGAGGAGUUUUUCUUGCAUGAGUACAAACUCACAUCAUCAUUAAACAAAAUAAAAGCAUACUACUAUAAAACGGUAUCAUUAUCAGUUAACGUUUUGGGUAUAAAUUCGAAACACAAACCACAAAGCAAAUGAUGCCAUAUCUACAAUUAAUACAGUCACAGUUUCAACUUUCAACUAAUGCUAAUGCCUAUUUAUUGCCAAAUUUUCAGAAUUGCAUAUCGAAUACACUCAAAUAUGCAUACACGUGACUGGAUAUCAAAUGACUAAUUUCAAUAAAUGAGAAUAAUAUUAUUAGCAAUUAACAACUAACAAAAUUUUAUGAUGUAAAUGUGCACCUGGACAGCAUAAUUUCUAUGCCCAGAUAUUUAACGCACAAUUUAAAUUUACAAUGUUUUCGUUGUCAUCUCUAAAUCAACUACCUGAUUCCUGAAAAACAUCCCACUGUGCCAGUAUGAUUCCCACUAAUUCUCAACAGAGUCAAUUAAAAACCUUCAUCAUCAUGCCAGAUGCAGACGAUUCCACCAUGUCCAGCAGAAGUAUGCACGCCAGCUAGAUAUAGUUCAAAAUUUACAGUAACAGCUCUCCACUAAAGAAAAAACUAUCCAAGCAGGUUUGGAGAAUGUCACUAAAUUUGGUGAUAAAUGACGGCUCGGAAUUUAAAAUUUUCUAUAAUACCACCGAUCAAUGCAGGCAACCCAAGAAGAAUUGUUGUUCAGAAGUAUUUUUACAUAAUCACAAGAAAACCUGCAAAUAUUGAUCAUAAUUCAUUAUAAACUCUGCAAUCCUUGGUGAGCCAGUAUAAAUAAAAUAUAUAUAUUUUUUCACACUCAAGAAAAACGAAGCAUGACAAAAAAGGGAGUAAAUUCAGAAUGGAAUGGAAACAAAAACAAAAUCUUAUCCACUAGGUAAUGUUUGUAAACUCAGUACGGAAACCGAUAAUAUAUAUAUAUAUAUAUAUAUAUAUAUAUAUAUAUUUCCUUCUAAUUAUUUUUCUUCCAGAGAUAAAACUUGAAGUAAAGGGUAAGAAAGCAAAAGAAAUUGUUAUGCAAUGCAUCAAAAUCAUUCAAAAGUUACUUGUGAUACCAAUAAUGACUAUUCAGACAUGGUUAAAGCUCACUUUCCUCCAAUCUGAAAGAGAAUAAAUUAUUAAUAACCUACGAUCACUUUUAUCAACAUUCACAUCAGUUUAAACAAGAAAUAUUAUUCUAAUUCCUAAAAUAACUAUUUCCCCUUUCCAGUUGGCAGUAAAUUACAGUUACAAAAUAAGAAAAAUACAUGAACAAAAAUCCAUAAAAGCUUUAAAUAUCAAAUUCUUGCUCAGAAAAGCAAAGCAAGGCUCAAUUACCCACCUCUGAUGCAUAUGCAAUUUGUAGUCACCUGCCUUGAACUAGUCUGUAAUUUAGAACCAAGUCAUCUGAUUUCUUCCAUACAUAAGCUCGAACUGUGGCUAAGCUCAUUUCAGGAGACAGCACCUGGAAAUAAACCAAACAGCUGGCUAAAAGCACAUUACUUCAAUGAAAAACAGUAUCAUACAAAGUAAAAUCAACUGUGAAUCAAAUAAAACAACAUUCAAUAAAAAUAUCUUUAAAAAAAUUGAUGUCAUUCUCAAACCAAUCAAAGGCAUAAUAAAUUCAAAAACUUGAUUAAAACAUAUGGCAUUGAGAACAAACUUGGUAACACACAAGAACAGUUGAAACUACAGAUCAUACAAGUACUACGAUCUAUUUUAAGACUUAAAAUACAACAGUCAUGGUUCAAUUAGCAGUGUCUAAUAUCUGAAAUUGAAUUUUAUAAUUAAUAGCCUACCAGUAGGUAAAGAAUUUAAGUAUGAAGACAGUCUUUUCAAAUCUCAAUAUCAGUUCAUCUUAUGACAUCCAGUGAAGUUAACAUCUAACUCGACAGAUAAUGCCACUGCUAAAAGAAAUCCUAGGUAUAAGGAACAUUGCACUGAUUUUUGGGAUAAUCAAACCAAGAAUACUUAAACCAAUAUUUUGUCAAUUCAUCCUGCAUCAUGGACUCUAGAAGUCAAAGUUGUAACUUUGUAAAUGCAAUUAAAACCAACAAGCACAGUACAUAAUUCUAACAAGAUAUUUUUUUUUCAAUAACUUCAAGAAAACAUCAUAAUGGAAAACUAAAAAUUGCAAUCAGCUUAGCAAAUAGAUUAUAGAAGGCAUACAAAGGAAUAGAAAGGUAAGCUAACUACAAAAAAAUAAAGCAUGAACUUGCUCAGUCUCAGCAUCUAGAAAACCAUACAGUAUACACUGUCAUAAGAUUGCAUACAAGACAACAUAUUGCUUGCCUGGUUGUAGCACAAUAUUUCAAUAGAAGGUCUAAGCUUUUGCCAUGGCUGAAAUCCAGAUCGAAAAGAUCCAUCCCCAACUGCUUGAUGCUGUGACUGUGACCCAGUAAGACCAGGGGCAAUACUACCUUCAGCACUUAAGCUGUCCAAAGGUUUGUCAAGCACCAUCUUCUCUAUUACAUAAUUAACAACCUAAACCAACCAAAAUAAAGGAAAGUUAAGUUGAUAAUUCAAAAUGCAUCAUCUACUGUUUUCAGAAUCCACACACAUGCAUGCACAAAAGCUAAACUAAACUAAACUCAAAACAAGUAAUACUGUUGGAAAGCAUGACCAAAGCCAGCUUAACAACACAUGUGAAGAUUAUUAAUGCAAUUAUCAAUUAAUAUAAAUAUAAAAACUUACUUUGUGAAUUCUUAAUAUACGUGGGGCACUUAGCUUCCCUUGUGUGAGGAUCUGGACUGAAGAUCCUUCACAUGGUUGCAAAUAAAAACUGCAUCUGCAGUUGUUAUCACAAAAGAAUAUAUAUCAAAGAGAGCAUUAUGUAACUAGUCUGAGAUUGCCAUCAUACUCAGAAGUACAAAAUUCAUAGACAUAACCAUUGACAAUCAAAAGUAAGAAAAAGAAUUCAAUAUUUUCAUGGCAAUAACCAUUAGAAGUACAAAAAAUGUUCAAAGAUACUGUUCGGUAGAUAGCUAAUACCAAGCAACAAAUACCACAGAAUUAAUACGAAGAUAGAUUACUAUGACUUCCUAAGAAUCUCAACCAUAUUAUCAAUUGAUGUCAUUUACAAAAGCCAUGUCAAGUACAACCAUAUGAGUGAUUAAUAGAUAUAAUAAUCAGAGUUAAGCAAUUAUGCUACAUUAACAAAAUAUACAAAUAGUCACAAGCAUGGUUUAUUCCUUUCAACUACAACCAUGUGUUUUAAUGCAACUAUUUAGGGAGGGAAAAAAUGAGGAAAGCAAAAUUACUUUGUAUUUUCUCUGGGAGGUAACCGAUUAUUCAAGACGCAGUCCAGACACCACCAAGGAAAGUCUUUCUCAUCCUUGGUUCCAUCUAAAUCAGUGAUUUUUUUUCUCCAUGGACCUCCAUGAGUGCCCUCAGUAAUAAUGGAAGGAGGGGAAGUAACUGAGAAUUCAAAUGGAGGAUAAACCAUAGCAUCAUUCUCAGAACUACCAUCAACCUCAAUUCUUGAAUGGGUACUACUUCUAGAAGCAGUCUCCUUUCCAGAUAAUAGUUCUCCAUUAGCUGGAGCUGGGGAUCCCAUUCUUUGCUUUCGUUUUCUCAACCAAUGAGCCAGUAGCCCUUUAAGGGUUUCUCGAGCCAAAUUAACCUGCAGAAUAACAGGCACUGAUUUAGAUUGUUGACAGCAAACUACUGAAAACAUUCUCAUUAUUUCAUUGUAUUCAUGGAUCACAUAUUUCUUGAAAGUUGAAACUAUAGAAGUGCAUAAUAGAACACAGCCAACAUUCAACAGUCAUAAAAAAAAACUUAAAAUACUUCCAUGUCCACUAUUCUAAUUUUCUACCCUUAAAUUUGGGAUGCACUUGAUGGAACAAAGCUUUUGAUUAUAAAACAACUAUUUUAUCCUUAUAAAUUUUAAUCUAAUCAUUAGCCUCACAAGGAUAAUAUAUUUAAAAUAAAGAUAGUGUGGGAAUUAAAAAGUUAUAACUUUGUUCCAACUAAUGGAGUGAAAUCUUUGUUCCGUUCCAUUAUGAAAUUUCCAAAGAAUGGAAUAACAUUUUUAUUCUACUCCAUUCCAAUCCAUCUGACUCUAUUCCAUUUUCUACCAUGAAUUUAAAGAUAGCCUUCAGAUUGAGCAAGAAGACGGACUAAAAGAUGGGAUGAUGGUUAUGUACCACUAACUGAAAUGGAUCUCAUGAAGAUGAAUUGGUUGACAAUUGUAUAUACUUGACAUCAAUAAGCCAAUAGUAACAACUAACAAGUAAAUAGUUGCAUAAAAGUUGAAAUUAAUUGUUACAGCAUACCAAAAACUAAGAGGAAAAUUAAUAUAAUUAGGAAUUUAAGACAUAAGGCCAGGUACAUUGUUCAUGACAAUGAAGCCAUUACCUUAUCAUCUUCAGGCUUGCCUACAAUGUUAAGAUCAGCUGAAUACAUCUCUGCUGAAAAACAUUGGGGAGUGUCCAAAUGGACUGACAAGCUUCCAAGCCUGGUAUCCACUGUGAACCAUGCAGGAAUGCUAACCUAAAGCAGCAUUGGAAGAAAAUUAAAAGCCAACUUGAACAAAUAAACUACUGGAAAUCGUCAUGUUUUCUUGCCUAGAAAAAAAAAUAUUUUAAAAUGAAAUCAAUGGUUUAAAUCAGUAAUCAUACCAUCUCAAAUAGCUCUUCCUUUUUCUCCUCAAAUGAAACCUAGACAGUCCACAAGUAAAGCACGAGCUAUUAUGAACCCACAAAUGAGUCCCCUAUCAUCUAUAGUUUAAAUUUGUAAAUAACAUCCAUUACAGACAGACAUGCUACUUCACUAGCAAACAAGAUUGUCAUACAAAUUACAAAAUGAAAAUGCAACCAGUUGUCACCUUUCCGUAAUCUUCAACGACAAUGCCUUUGGUAAUCUCCCACAGCUUCACUGAACCAGAUGCAUCCUUUACCAAAAGUUAUUCAUCAGUUACAAAAAUAACAGAAAAAGGUUAUGCAAAUAUGCAUGGCAUAAUAAAAUCACUACAAAACACCAUGGUUACCUUUGUCAGCACAUGCCUCUUAUUACUCAAAACUUCAUGUUGUACUAUUGCAGGUGUACCCAAGAUAGUUAAGGUAGGUUCUUUAUAUACAGGAACCUAUAAACAUUAGUAAUUUUGACAACAAAAGGAGGAUUAUUAGUUUUGCAGAAGGGAAAGAACCAAAUAUCUAUAUAUAUAUAUAUAUAUAUAUAUAUUUUAUUUUAUUUUUUUUUUUCAACAAAAACUUGUUUAGAAAACAAACUACAUCAUAUUCACCAAAAGGAAACACUAAUAAAAGUCAAAAGAUAUGUAAACUAACAUGCUUCAUCUAUACAUGAGCAUAUGCAACUGGUAUUAUAAAUACCAAGAGCAACAUAAAAAUUUGAAGAUAUAAUAAUAGAAAAGUAAUGUAGGAUUUUUUUUUCAGAAUUAAAUAUAACAUACAGGGGUAGAUCCUUCUGGUGAAACUCUUGCUCUUGAAAAAGACAAGUUUCCAGCUAAAAAAGAAUUGCCUCUCUGGAAAAUCUUUUGAGGGUCGCAUCCUUCAGCUGGCCAUCUAUGAACUGAAGAGUCUGUUGAUGCAACCCAUAUGCUAUCAUCAUGCAAAGCCAAUUGAAGAAUAGGGUGCUCGCCUGUGCAAAGCAAACUACUCUCUCUAGUUUGCAAAUCUGUCAAGUAUAACUUAAGGCAUAAAAGAAUAUGACAUUAGAAGACGAGGUUCACAAGUUAAACAGGAAAAGGAGAUGUGAUUUCACAUAAACUCAAGAUGUAAUAAUAAUAAUAAAAAAUAGUUUGAUGUUAAUUUCAGUAGAAGGUUUCACUCACUGAAAAGUCUCUCCCUCCACUAUAAACAUGACUAAAUGUUGGGGUGCUGGCAAGUGCCCAAACAGAAUCUGUAUGAACUGCAUAAGAAUGCACACAUCUCUGCUGACCUAUAUCCCAAAGCCUAGAGGAAACACCGACAGAUUAUUAGUCAACCACAAAAACAAAACAAAUAGAAAUGCUUAUAACUCCAUAUGUGUGCAUUACCUUAUCAUAGAGUCUGAAGAUCCUGAUAAACAAUAUCUGCAACAAUGAACAUUAAAAACAUCAUAACUGACUUGCUGGAAAAAAAACAUAUUAAUUUGAACUUAACAAAUUUAUCCAAUGAAAAGAUGCAUGGCUGCAUACAAUGAAAAGAAAACCCAACAGCAUUUCAUUCACUGUAUAAUUGACUAUUAAAUAAGUCCACCGUAACAUAGAUAAUGAAAAUGUUAGGUUAUUCAUGUGCAUAGUUAACUUGUUAUUUAUAUGUUGGGGGAAAACAUAGAAAUGUCAAAUGGGAAAGAUCAAUGCAAACACACACACACACACACACAGAGGGAGAGAGAGAUUUUUAUGAUAAUAAAGAAAUUAUAAAUAAAUAGGAGGAAAAGCAAGUUACCAACUUUAAAAUUUAAUUGUAAAUUGAAAAACUGCAACUAAACUUAGAUAUCCACUCCACAAACCUGCCACUAGAAUCCAGAAGCAGAGCCCUGAUGUUAUCUGUAUGCCCUCUUAGCUUUAGAGUCUUUGAUCCUGAUCUUGCGUCCCAGACACGCACAACCUAGUGAACCCCCAAAAAAUUGAAGAAAUAAACCAUGGCCAGAGACAACAUCCCAUAAAAUUCAAGCUACUACAUCGCAAGCAAAAAACAUCUAUACUGUUUCAAAUGUAAAGAAGCCUCGACAAUUCAGAGCAUAUGCCAUAUUGGGCGAGUUUUUUUAAACUUUAAAAAAACAACUUUAAAAUAAGCGCUUUACAUAUAAGAACUUUUUUAAGAAGCAUCUAGGAUUUGCUUCUUUAAAAAAAGCAAAAAAAUGCUAAUUUUAAGUAAAAUCAAUUUAGACAAACACACUAGAAAAUCAUAAAAGUGCUUAUUUUAUUUUGAAAAGCAAUUAUUUUAAAAAAUAAGCUUAAACAAACUAGCCCAUUGUACCUUUUCUGUGCCACCAGAGACAAGAAUUGUUCCACUUUCAUUCAUAGUCAAUGCAUAAACAGAAUCUUUAUGGCCUUUGGCAGAAAUUGGAACGUAUCCCUGAGUUUGAGUGGUGUGCAUGGACAUAUUGUCGCUUGAGUUAAUAGUACGCAAGGAUGUCAAUGGUAGUAAGUUGCCAGAACCAUUGAUACCAUUUGAAGAUUCAUCAACCAUAGCAUCAUUACACUUAGAGGGAGCAAGGGCAGCCUCGAUAUCCCAUAUAAAAACCUCCCCACCAAGGCCACCAGAGGCAACAGUAUUGUUCUAAAAAGCAAGACACUAUUAAAGGAUCAAAGAAUGGAUUUGAAAUUGAUAAUUCAACCAAAGUAGCUAUCUGUUUCAAUGUGGAGCAUAUAGAAACAAUAAAAUGAACUUUUUCUCGAUACACUUAAUAAGAAGCAUAAGAUGUUUGGAGUACAUUACAUUUUUUUCAGCUGCUGCAAGGCAAGUAACAUAGUCAGAGUGUUGCCGGAGAGUCCUAGUACAAGUUCCAAAGGACAGGGCAUUCCAUGUCUGACACAUAAAAAGAAGGUGUAAAUAAUUAUGUAAGUACUGGUAUUAUUUCAGAAGAACAAGUAUUGAUUGGAAUAAAAAACAGCUAGCAAUCAACAAACCUUAAGGGUUGUAUCUGAGGAACAAGAAACAAGUGUACUAUCACCAACAAGAACAGCAUCAUUAACCUGAAAGAAUGAAAUAACAUUUACAUAUUCAAUUGUACUUAUGCUGUUGUGCAUGUGUUAUGGAUUGUUAAGGUGUCAUGUUUUGUGAGUUAUAACUUUAUUGCUAAUGAAACAGGGUUUAGGACUUUUGGGGAAAGCAUAAAAGAUGAAGAAUGACUAUAAGUUCAGGAAGUUUCAUCAAGUAACCAUGGUUUAAAAAACAUAGCUAGGUACCAGAAGUUACUAACUUAGAAGUAAACUAACAAUUGGAAGGGAAGAAAAUAAAAAGAAAAAACGAACAUAAAGAUUACCCAAUCGACAUGAGAUUCAAAGGUAGCCAAGCAUGUUGCUCUAUCCACCCCUAGUGCCCAUCGUUUUAACCUGCCAUCACGGCUUCCGGUGAACAGAUAAUCAGACCCAUCAGAUGCUGCAGACAUAAGUAGAGCCAGACAAUUUAUGCCUGCACAAUGCUGCAGAAAAGAACCAACUUACAAGCGAUUCUAGACUGUGCAACUAAGAAAACCAUCAAAAUUGAAAUCAACCAAAUAAGAAAUAGUGAUGAAAAUAAAAUCUAUGACAUAACACCAUGCAAAGCAAAAUUCUAAGUAUGAACAAUUAGUGAAGCUUUGAUUGAUAAGAAAGUAAAAUAUUGGGUAAAUAUUAAAAAGAAAAGGCUGAAAUAUGCAAACCACCAGAUAGGUAUAAGUCAAUGUAAAAAGAUAAAAUAAUAUUAAAAUUUAGGGUAAACCUCCAUUUUGAUCUUUGGAACACCAAUUUGGUCCUCAAAAGGUUAUCACAUCCCUUUGAUCCUCAAACAACAGGUUUUAACAUCAAAAUCGUGCAAACACAUUUUACUAGGACCCAGCUGAUGUCAGUCAAGAACCAAAUAUUCUCAUUAGAGCACAAUUUGAAGUCACUAAUCUUUUGACGAGAAAAUUCAGUUAAUUUUUUUUCAAGGACCAAAUUGGGAAUUCACUGUAUAAUUUAAAUAAUAUUUUCAUCUACGUAAGAAAAGUUUUGUAGGGAUCAAAUUGGGAACUCAAAAUUUGGAACCACAAUGUCAAAGAAAUUUUUUGUAGGGAUAAAGAUGCAACUACUAGAAGCAAACAUGAAACUUGUCUGCUUCCCUGGAACAAAUAAAAUAAUGAGUUCACCUUUGAGUCAUCAGAAUCAUUCAACACAUAGGUUAAUCUCUUCUCCUUACGAGGGCGAGUUGAAUUGUUUCCGUUACUUGCACUACCCACGCGGUGCAUUGCAGAAACUGUUUUAGUUCAUAAAUCAAAUAACUUAAACAAGAACCCCAGGAGUAAAUUGAGAAAAUAAUUCCAUAUCAACAAUUCUACUUAGCAGCAUUAGCAACAACAUUUGGAAAGAAAAACAAAAACUAACAUAUCCCAGUGCCAUAAGGCUCCUCGCUAUGCGAAUGUAUGGGAGAGGAUUAUCGUACACAGCCUUACUCUUGCAUGUGCAAAAAAAAAGUUUUCGGAUUCGAAACCAUGACCAACCAACCAGUCACCAAGGUGCAACUUUACCAUUGCGCCAACAGCAUUAAAAUAAAUAUCUGAUGAAGUAGUUUAUGCAUUAUGACCGUUUAUUUAACAAAAGAAUAUUUGUAUAUACAGUUAAAGACAGACACAUCCAAACACUUCCUCAGAAAUCGCAUACAGAAAAGCAUUAGGCGUUAGGCAUAACUGGUUAACCCAAACGUAUAACCCAGGAGCUCCUAGAAACUAGCAUUAAGAAUUCUUGUAGCAUUAUGAGAUGGACCUUAGUCUUCUCAAUAACCCAAAUGCUGAUACUAAAAUCUAGACCUCCAGACGUGGUUUUUCACAUUUACUAAGAAGCUAGUAAUUAUGGCUUCAAGAAGCUAAUAGUAAUUAUGGCUUCAAGAAGCUAGUAAUUUUGAUUUAGUACUUCUCAACGGGUUUCCAAAACAUGCUAUAUCAUCUUUUACAACAAUUCCAUGUUAACCUCAGAAUCCAGACGAAGUUCAAACUCAUUCUUUCCAUACAGUCUGAAUCACCAGUCAAACCAUAAUCGCAUAUCAAAUGCACCAAAGACUCAAUGUGAAUCAAAUAAAAAACCAAAUCUACAAAAUCAAUAAUCAAACGCACACCUAAACUCAUAGGCUCAUAGCAGACUGAAGAUAUCGAAUGUCCCAAAUCAUCGACACAAAUUACGCAAACGAAGGAAAAGAGAAAAUAAAAAAGUCAGAAAACAAAAGCAUAACCCUUCACACAAAUUAACUAGGCCGAUCAUAAGGUUAAGGGCUUUGAACUAUGAGCUAAAACAGACUAAUUAUAAGAUGCGAUAAAUUGUUUCGUAGAAUCGGAAGCAGAAAAUAAUCGGAAAAAAGGAAAUCGAGUUGGAGAAGGAGAAGAUGGAACAGUGGAAGGAACAAACCGUGAUCAGUGACGAAUUCGAAGCACUCUGAGUGCUUGUCUUGUUGCUGUGCGAAGUUUCAGCUUUAGAGAGAGAAAGUGUUUGGGAGAGAGAGAGAGAGAGAAUGGUGAGGACAGCGAACGUGAGUGUGUAAAUAUGGGCGUCCAGAUUUAUUCCGGUAAAUCCUUUGACCCGUUGUGUGCCUCUUAUUGAGGGCAAGAUGGUCCUUACACUUGAAGGAAGGAUACACCAAAGGCUAAUUCACCAUUUUGGUCUUUUGUUUUUUUUUCUUUAGUUAUUUAUCUUUUAAAAAUUAUUUUGAUCUUAUGUUUUAUUUAAAAUGGUCUUUUAUCUUUUAAAAUUUUUACUUUAAUACCUCAUCUUACUUAUUAAAAUGUUCAAAAUAAUCUUUUAACUAUUUAAAUAUAUUCAAAAUGAUUAUUUAUGUGAGUGUUAUUUGAAGGGAAAAAAUAAUCACAAAGUAAAUCUUAUAAAGGAAAAUCUCAUUUAUGUGAGUGUUAUUUGAAGGGAAAAAAAUAAUCACAAAGUAAAUCUUAUAAAGGAAAAUAAAUAAAUAAAGAAAAUAGGAAAAAAAAUACAUUAGAAAAGGAUUUUAAAUGUUGAAUGGUUAUUGCAUGUUUUAUGUUACACCCUCCAAUUUGCACUAUGUAUGAUAGUGUAAAUACAUUACAACUUGUUAGGUAGAAGUAGUUCCCACAAAGUUCUGCAAAAUGUUUAAUUGACAAGCUAAACAAAGAUGAGAAAAAGAUACUCGAAAUCAAGUUAGAUGGGAGAAAGGCUUAGGAUGAUUUUCUAAGUUAUUUCUUCUGGAUCUAUAUAAGCAAAAAAUAAUCUCAUAUAUUAUACUUAAAUAUAAAUAAAUAUAAUUAAUUUUAUGUUAUUUAAUGUUAUUAUUCCUAAAAAAAUCAUAUAUUUAAUUUUAAUUCUAUUUCUAAUGGCUUUUUUUUUAUCCAUGAUAUUAAAUUUUAAUAAAUGAUAUUUAAAAAAUAUUUUUAUUUUUUACUUAAGAUUAAUAAAAUUAAAUGACGUCAACUAAUUUUCUUAAUCAAUAUAAAAUUAGUUAUUUUUACUUAAGUUUAGACAAAGAAUUAUUCAAGUAUAACAUUUUAAAAUAUUGUAGCCCCGAAUAAGACCAACAUGGCUUUGGAGCAAGGUAGAGUAGUUCACACCUCAAGUUGUAAAGUUGUAAGACACGUAUAGAUGUAGCAUUGGAGAUGCUAACUAACCAUGCCUUAUUUGUUCUCUACUUCAUUAUCGUAGUUGAAUUUGUUACAUAGACAAACAAUCAUCCAUUUUCUUUGUAGGUACAACGACUUGGUUUUUUUAGAGUUGGCAAGUGCAUGGCUUGAAAGACAUUUAUAAUCUAUGAUGGGGGUUGCAGCUCUAUUCCACUUAAGUUCUAGUCUUCAAAUGGUGUAGUGAACUCAUUAAUAUUUUCCCUCCUUGUCAUGUUAAGUUAGUGGAAUCAAAGUGAACUUUAUAAGUUCUUCAUAGUUAGGGUUCCAUCUAUCACUCCAUAUAUAGUGUGACCCUCCAUUCCUUAUGUGUUGUCAAAUUUUUAGUUACCUUAUCCCAAGAGUUGCACACCCAUUUCCAAAAAAAUUAGGAGUUGUUAAAAUUCUUAAUUUGAGGUAAAAUAUUACUUUCACACCUAUCUUUAGCUUAGAUGAAUUACAUCUCAGGUUAUUUUUAUUACAUCAAAAUUUUCGUCUAAUUUUCAUGCGAAGAGCGCAAUUCACUUUGUGCUCUACGAAUCUUCCAUCUAACAUGUGAUUUAGGUUGACCAAUGAUAUUCAAUGUGGCCAUAUGAAAAAAUCGACUAUAAUAAUCAUGCCUUGAUAUAAAAAAUAAAUAAAAAAUCACUACAUCUUUUAUCUAGGGCAUCGCAUGUACUAAAAGGAAUUAAGGAAAUCUACAUAGCAUAACUAGGUAUUAAGGAAAUCAAGAAGGUCUGCGUUACCACUCUCCAAUAAGACAAAUUUAUCGCAACAAACCAUCACCGAAAGAGAAUAAAGACCCAUCUCAAGUUAUUCGGCAAGCACUGGCAAAAACGCUUGUUUUCUAUUACCCAUUUGCAGGUAGGCAGCAAAUUGAUGGUGGUUUGUACUGGGGAGGGCGCGUCAUGUUCGUUGAGGCUGACGCAGACGUAACACUUGCUCAGUUUGGUGACGCUCUCCAACCUCCAUUCCCAUGCUUCCAAGAAAUUACUAACACUCCCCCUUCUACUCGUACAGGUCCAAUACAUAUGUUUUUAUAAUUUAUUAAUUUAUCCACUUGUAUGUUGAAGGCAAAAGUCAUUAGAGACUUUAUAAUUUUUCAUUAGGAAAGACAAAAAAAAUAUAACAUUUUACAUGGGAAGGUAACCUUCAAGUUUAACAUGAAAAAAAAUCAUUUUCAUUUUUCACACAUGAAACUUAAUUGAUUUUUUGGAGAGUUAUAUUUUAUUUUAUAAUUUUUCUAAGUUGCAUCUUUAAAAAAAAAUCUCUUUCUAUUUCCUAUCAUAUUUUAUCGAUGCUUCUUCUAGUAUUUUUCUUCCUGUUAGUUAUUUCUGUUUCUUCAUGUUGGGGAUAUUGAAUCAUAGGUCACACGACUCAGGUGUAGUGGUGGUUUCAUCCUGGCCACUCGCGUGAACCACACCAUGAUGAGCGAUGGAGCUGGUUUGUCACAAUUCAUGAACACUUGGGCUGAAAUGGCUCGAGGUGUUAAAAGUCCUUCCAUUGCACCUGUGUGGCGUAGGGAGCUCCUCAUGGCAAGAGAUCCACCUCGCAUUACAUGCAACCAUCGUGAAUUCGAGCAUGUCCCAGACACCAAGGAAAGAAUAAUCAUCCCUGAGAACGUUCUUCGAUCUUUCUUCUUUGGACCCGCCGACGUGCGUAGCGGCCCUUGGUGGCUUGGUUCCCCAUAACCUUCAGCAUUGCACCACAUUUGAUUUGAUAACAGAAUGCUUAUGGCGUUGUCGCACAACAGCAUUGCAGAUAGAGCCAGAAGAGGAUGUUCGCUUGAUGUGCAUAGUCAAUGCACGUGCCAGGUUCUAUCCUCCGUUACCCGUUGGUUAUUACGGCAAUGCUUUUCCAUACCCUGCAGCAGUCACCGCUGCAGGGAAGCUUUGUGGAAAUCCAUUUGGGUAUGCGGUGGAAUCAACCAAGUGAAAAGUGAGGUGACGGAGGAGUAUAUGCAUUCUGUGGCAGAUCUAAUGGUGAUUAAGGAACGAUGCUUAUUCACAACUGUAAGGUCUUAUAUGUUGUGUCAGACUUGAGAUAUAUAUUUUCAUUUUGGAAAAGUCGAUUUUGGGUGGGGUGAUGUUGUGUAUGGUGGAUUGGCCGAAGUUGAAGCUGGGGACUUUCCAGGAGUAACAUAUUUCAUUCCGUAUAAGAAUGCAAAAGGAGAAGAAGGUUUAGUUAUGAAAUAUAAAAUGCUAUGUUUCUUGAUUAUUAAAUAUUUACUCAGUAUGUUAACUUAAUUAUUGGAAGCUUAUUACUGAAGAAAACAUUCUAUUUUAUACCUAUCAAUCCAAAAUAGGUUGAGAUCCAUAAACAAUGGUAAAAUGUUCAAAUAUAUAACUGAACAGUAAUAUAGACUAAAACAAAAUUAUACGUUGCUCAAAAAAUAAGAUUGACUUGCUACCUGUGAAGAUCUUUAAACAUUCUCAUAUAUAUCCUAACACAACAUACAACUGUGUGAAAACAAACUUGGGAGGAUAAAUUCUGACACGGGAAAAAGAUUGGCCUUGCCUUUUCUUCAUUGUCAAACUUCCUACCACUUUGAAUCAAUUUUAAAUUUUAUAUCAUCUAUAUCAUUCCAACAUUCUUCUCUUAUUUUUUACUCUAAAGUACAUAUCAACUACCUAUCAACUACCAUGGUGGCGGGUCUUCAUGCAUUAUUUUCCUUCAAUGUAUUAAGUUUCCAUAAGCUACAAAUUACAGGGAAGACAUGAUAAAGUUAGCACCACUCGUUUGAGGUUGGUUUUGGUUCCUAAGCAUGUCAUUCAACUCUUUUGCAAACCUCUCCAUUGCUUCAUCAGGCAACCCAAUCGCAAAUAUUAUACCUUCUUCUCCUUUUGCAUUCUUACCCGGGGUGAAAUAGGAAACUCCUGGAAAAGCCCCUGCCCCACAUUUUGCCGGUCCACCAAACACAGCAUCACCCCACCCAAAAUCUACAUUCCUAAACUUGGCACGUGACAAAUCCGACACAAUAUAAGACCGUACAGUGUUAAAUAAGCAUCGUCCCUUGAUCACCAAUAGAUCUGCCACAGAAUGCAUAUACUCCUCCGUCACCUCACGUUUCACUUUGUUGAUUAACUCCACCGCAUACCCAAAUGGAUUUCCACAAAGCUUCCCUGCAGUGGUGAUUGCUGCAGGGUAUGCAAAAACGUUGCCGUAGUAACCAACAGGUAAUGGAGGAUUGAACCUGGCACGUGCAUUGACUAUGCACAUCAUGCGAACAUCCUCAUCUGCCUCUAUUUGCAAUGCUUUUGUGCGACAGCGCCACAAGCAUGCUGUGAUGAUAUCAAAUGUGGUGCAGUAUUUAAGGUUAUGGGGAAUCAAGCGGCGAAGGGCUGCUAUCUCGACAGGUCCUAGGAAGAAUGAUCGAUGAACCAUGUUGUUGUCGUUGUCGUACGAGGAAGUGAUGGUCCCUUCCUUGGUGUCUGGGACAUGCUCGUAUUCGCGAUGGUUGCAUGUAAUGCGAGGUGGAUCUCUUGCCAUUAGGAGCUCCCUACGCCACACAGGUACAAUGGAAGGACUUUUAACACCUCGAGCCAUUUCAGCCCAAGUGUUCAUGAAUUGUGACAAACCAGCUCCAUCGCUCAUGGUGUGGUUCAUGCGAGUGGCCAGGAUGAAACCACCACACCUGAGUCGUGUCACCUGCAUUUAAUUUCCAAGGUCAACUGGUCAAGAUAUGUACAGAUUCUACUUUUCUAUAGUUUAACUAACAGGGAAAAGAAAACUCGACAAAAUAUGUUAUACGAUGGAAAAUAUAUAGAGAAAAAUAUAUAAAUUAUAAAGAUUUAAGUAUAUUUUUAUUUCUUGUUCCAUUUGUUUUUAAUUAUAAUAAUUUUUCAACUCAUAUUUUUUAAGAAAAAUAAUUAAUUUAUUGUUAAUUAAUUGUAUUAUCAUUUCAAAAUUAUUAUUUUUUAUUUUUCAUUAAUAUUUGAAAAGAAAAUAAAUAAAUAAAAGUAUAUAGAAAAAAAAUAAUUAAUACAUCUAAAAAUUAAAAAAUCUUAUAAAAAACAACAAACAAAUUUUAAAAAAUGUUCUUAUAAUUGACGGAGGGAGUAUUAUAUUCAUGAUGCGUUAGUAAAACCUAUAAAUUUUAUGCAAAGAUAUCAUCCCAAAAAUUAAUAAAGUUUAAUAUGUGAAAAUGAUUUUUUUUUUCAUGUUAAAAUUCAAGAUUCCCUUCCCGUGUAAAGAUAUGUACGUCUUUGGAGUUCUCGUGUGAAGUCGCUACUUAUUAAUUUUGGAGUUCUCUAAAUUACCUCAAAUAAAAAUAAAAAUAAAAACAGGAUUAAACAAUCUGAUAAAUGAUUAGAAAAUAAUUAUACUAACAUUUUUUUUUUCAAGGGUAUUAUAUAUGAGGUAUUUAAUCCUAUUUUUAUUUGAGGUAAACUAAACAACGCAUCAAUUUUCAUAAGAAAAAUAGUAUAGAAACAGAAUUUACAAGAUCGUAUAAAAUUCCAACAAUAGAUUCACUCUUACGUAUGCAAAAGAAGAUGAAAAAAUGUGUAUUGAACCUGUACGAGUAGAAGGGGAGUGUUAGUAAUUCCAAAAAUAGAUUCACUCUUACUUAUGCAAUUUGCCUAUGUCGUUUUUAGAAUUUUCAUGUGGCUUUUGAACGUUUUUUUUUUUCUUUGUACAAAGAAGUGGAUAAAUUAAUAAAUUAUAAACAAUGUGUAUUGGACCUGUAUGAGUAGAAGGGGAGUGUUAGUAAUUUCUUCAGUCUCUGGAACAUUAUAUAGAAGUUCUUGGAAGCAUGGGAAUGGAGGUUGGAGAGCUUCACCACCAAACUGAUAAAGUGUUACGUCUGCAUCAGCCUCAAUGAACAUGACGCCCUCCCCAGUACAAUCCACCAUUAAUUUGCGGUCAGGGCCCUCCCUAAGCCUACCGGCAAAUGGGUAAUAGAAAACAAGUGUUUUUGCCAGUGCCUGCCGAAUGACUUCAACAGGGUCUUUCCCUGCCAUUGAUGGUUGGUUAUGAUAAAUCUGAAUAAUUGGAACCUGGAAACGAAAGCCGUCUUGAUCAUCUAUGUCGGAUAGUGGUUUAAGUUGGUGAGGAGUGGGUGUAGCAGGAGCCACCAGCUCAGGUUGGCACCUUCGCACUGUGAACAUUAGAGAGGGAGAAGAUGAGGCCAUGUUAUCUGGGACAGCUAGAGAAUGAGAUCGCUGAUUAAUAAAAAACGAAAGCAAAAGAGAUAUGAAGUGAGUUACUGGAAGCAAGGGCUGCUUGCCUUUAUAAAGGAAAUUGAAAGCCCGUACGUUUUCAUAAUGACACUUCCGUUAGAAGUUCCAAUAUGUUUCACAUUUGUUUGUUUUUUGUUUUUUUCCUUAUUGUUGCAGUUGUAGGGUCGAUUAAAAACGAUCAUUUACGUAACCAAAUUAAACCGAUGGGAAGUUUGCCAAUUGGCACCGCUGUGGUUGUUCUUAGAGUGAAGAUGAUAUUUGGAUACACAUUAUGAACACCUUUUAUUUCUCUGUAUAAACAUCCCUCCUCUUAUAAGUAACGUGAAUCAUAUUGUUAAUAUUCCUAAUACUAUUCUUCACAUUUCUCUCGUGGUUCUCGUUUACUAGACUCGUUGUGUAGUAAAUAGUAAUGUAUUUCGUUUGGGUCACUCAGUUAAACGGAGUAUAUUGCAAUAAUAAAAAAUUGAAAACACUUGCAAUUUCAGAAUAUAAUCCUGCUGAUGACACUUACAUCUUUUCUUGAUAGUCAGCAAUAUGCGUCACUUUUUUUUUUUUUAAAAGGAUAGUACCUAAAAGAUUAUUGAUUAAAAAAAAUUUAAAAAGUUUUUUUAUUAAGAAACAAAAAAUUAUAUUAUUUAUAAUUUUCUUACGUUUUUUAUAAUUUACAUAAUAAAUAUUUUUUUAAUUCUUUAACUAAUAUUUAAAAAAGCAAUAAUUUUUUUAAUUGUUGGAUAACAUUCGUGAAUUUUAUAAUCCCAACAAUGUUGGGUUCAUUACCCAAAAUUAAAGGCAAUAAUCUAUAUAAACCUUAAAAUAUUUAUUUAUGAACACCCAAUAACAUUUAAACGAUGACACCUACAUUUUUGUUUGCUAGAAGUGAAAUAGGUAGGAAACUGGUAGGUGAGAAUAAAAUUAGAAGAAUUGAAUAUGUAUGUUUAGUUUAUUUCCAAAAAUGCACGUUAUCUUCAUAGUUAUUAGCAAAGAGAUAUGCACCACUCCAUUGUUAGGUAAGUGUACAGCGUUCUCGUAUUUAAGGGAAUCAGUGACUAAUUGGUAAUAUUAUUAAUUCUUGUAUUAAUUAUUUAAAAUUCAUAUUUAUGAUAAUUUUAGUGGGUUAAAAUGAAAUAAUUUAUCAAAAGGUUAUUUGUAAUAUGUUGAAAAGUACCUACCAAAUUAAAAGCAAUUGUUGUUAUAUAUCUGACUAUAAUUUGUAGUAUAUAUAAUUAAUGUUAGAAACAACAAGAGAGGACAGAAAAUUGUUUAAGAUACGUAGGUUGGACAAGUAUAAAGUAAUUAAAUCACUAACUAGAUGCAAAUUAAAGUGAAGAGAGUGGAUUGCAUGACCAAUGAAAAAUGGAAGAGAGAGAUUCAAAAUGGCAUAUUGGAAGAAGUUAUUAAGAUGUAUCUCAUUAACGGAGAGAUCAUGUAAUUAAUCCGUGUAACCAACCUUAGUAGAAUGAAAUUUUUGUUGUUUUUAUUUUAUGGCGGAUAUUGCAUACACUUUUUUUUUAUCUAUGAAAAAAAAAAAGAGUAGUGUGAACUGUUUGACAGAAAUCAGCCAAGCCUAUUUCAUGUUUAAUUAAUUGUAACAAAUAGUUCUGUAUGUCAUUGUCAAAUAUUUAUUCUUCACAUUUAUCUUGUAGUUCUCGUGUAUUAAACUAGUAGUGUUCAAACUCAAGAGAUAGAUAAAGAGGACACGUUGUGAUGAUUUGCUGGAAGUGCAAAGAACUUAAAAAACAAAUUGGAGGACAUGCUUGUAUGUAACAAUUGAAAAAGUUAAUUGAUCCUCUUUCUAACACUUUUUUAAUAUUCUUUUUACGAUUUAGUUAAAAUUUAUUGAAAAUUACUAAUUUUGAUAAAUUUUACUUCUAAAUUAAAAGAAUGACAUUAAAUGAGAUAUAAAACACUAAAGUUGAUGAUUUUCAAUAUAUUUUAAUUAAUUUUAUAAAAAGUGUUGAAUAAAGAGUGUAAAAGAAAAUUAAUGCCAUUAAUAUUUCUCAAAACAAAAAGAUUGACAUAAAAUGUUAUGGGUUAAUUUUUUUAUUUUUUAUCUCUUAAUUUUUAUUGUAAAGGAAUAGAAUGAAACAAAAGUUUCAAGGGUAAUUAAUUUUGUGAAAAGCAACAAUAAUAAAUGAGAAUCAUAGACAAAAAUAGGUUAGGUCACCUAUUCACAGGUGGCCUAUGGCCAACCCUGCUUUAAGGCAUAAUGACUUGAUUAAUAAAAAGAUCAAAUUAAAACCUUUUGAAAAUCAUAUUUAAAUAAAUAAAUAAAAGUGAAGUUCAGAUAUUAAAAAAAAAACUAUUAAAUUUACCAUGUGUGAUAAUUGAACACUUUUUAAAAAUCAGCAAAGAGGAUUAUAUUAAAUUAAAAGAGGUACCACAAUACAAAGAAACCACUGCCCACAAAAUGAAAACCUGAUUAUAAAUAUUUAACUCAGACAUGAGAAAAUUAUGGCUAACCAGGAAACAGAGAAACACUAGAAACAAAACACAAGCACACCCAAGAAUAAAUACAGCACGCACUCCUCAAAAGUGAUCAAAUCGCAGCAGCAAAUCAAACCAUUCCCUUAACAUGCAUGCAGCAUCACCUUCCCAAUCCACUACCAACACGCAAUACAGUAGUUCAUACAUAUCACCUUUUUUUUAAGGAUAAACACUGUAUUCAAAGAAUAUUGACCGAUUAAAGAAUUUAAAGGAAAAAUAUUUCUAUUGAGAAACGAAAAAUUAUAUUGUUUAUAAUUUUUUAUAUUAUGUAUUUCUAUAAUUUAGAUAGUAAACAUUUUUUCCUUUUUAAUUCUUUAACUAAUAUUCUAAAAAUAUUGAUAAAGAAAGAAUUAUUUUAAUUGUUGGGUAACAAUAUUGGUGAUUCUUAUAAUCCCAAUAAUGUUGGGUUCAUCACCCAAAAUUAAGGGCAAUAAUCUAUAGAAACCUUAAAAUAAUUAUUGAUGGACACCCGAUAACAUUUAAAUGAUGACCCCUACAUUUUUGUUUGGUAGAAGUGAAAUAGGUAGGAAACUGAGAGGUGAGAAUGAAAUUAGUCUAUUCUAAAAAUUCACCAUGUUUUUUUUAUAGUCAAGAUAGACUAAAUUUAUAUGUUUUUAAUUUGAGAAUCACAUUUAUCUAUAUGAAAAACAUUGAUUUUUACUAUUUAUGUUCGAAAAAUAUAAAAAUUAAAAAUAUUUUUUUCAAUUUUUUUAUACUGGAGUCGGUGAAGUUAGGUGUUAGUUUUUUUUUAUUUGGUAAAAUUGUACUUUUGGUCCCCCACUUUAGGUCCAAUUUCGCAUUUGGUCCUUCGCUAAUUUAAUUCACAAAUUGGGUCCCUCUAUUUUAUAAAAUCCUGCAAUGUUGGUCCCCGAAGCCUCAAUUGGAUGUUGACUAUUAAGCUCAGACGUUGACUGCCACAUGUCAACAUCUGAGAGGCUCUUGAAAAUUUUUACUUUGUGGUAAAAAAAUUUACGUUGACCCAAUUCCCGCUAACCCUAAUUCUACAAUGUGGGUUCGCUGCGCGUGAUAGAACUUCAGCUGGUGGCCUUCAUCUUGGUGUUCUCAACAAGUGGCCUCGUCCCACUCAUUGAUCUAGUGUUCCCUGCAUUCGUCUCUCCAUACAUCUUGGCACUUUAUUGGUGGUUUGUCUCUAACCCAAUUAAUUUACAAAUCCCUAACCCUAAAUAGUAUUUUAUCAAUCUUCUUCUUACUAAUAUUUUUCUUUCUCUUCCUCUGUCUAAUUCUGAAACAAACAAUGAAACAUUGAGUGACAAUUCUAUUGCGUGGAAUGUUCUUCUUCUGAUGAAAAUGAAGUGUUUCUAUUUCUUAAACGGAGAAGACGAGGAUUUCGUGGAGGGAGGAGUGGCGGCGAGUUCGCGCGACGGCUCCACCUCGCACGUGUCAUGGGCUCGUUCGCUAAGCUUGAUGGACACGCACAAUAGCAGCAGUCGCUCCCACUUCGUCUCCGAGUCGACGGAGUUCUCUGAUACGGUGGACUUCCACCACUUCCUAGCGCAACGUGGUGCCAACAAUCUCCGUCUUUUCUCCUUCUUCGACCUGAAAUCCGCCAUGCGCGCCUUCAGCCGCACCCUCCUCGUCGGCGAGGGAGGCUUCGGCUCUGUCUACCGUGGCUUUCUCGACCAAAACGAUGUUGCAAUCAAGCAGUUGAACCGCAACUUUACUAUGUAGUUUGUCUUUGUUUUCGCCACCCAUGAGGGCGUUGGUGCCAAUCAUCUACACAAUUCGGAGGAUCUUUGUGGAUAUUGAUUGGAUUCAUGAUGUCUGGCUCAAUAAGACUUUGCGUAAAUUGUUGUAAAACCUGCAAUGUUGUUAUGAUAGGAUUUUCCUUAAGGAUUAGGGAUUAGGGUUAGGGGGAAUUGGAUCAACAUAAAUGUUUUCACCACAGAGUAAAAAUUUUCAAGAGUCUUUCAGACGUUGAUACAUGAUAGUCAACAUCUGAACUUAACGAUCAACGUCCAAUUAAAAUUUCAAGGACCAACAUUACAGGAUUUUACAAAACAGGGGAUCCAAUUUGUGAAUUAAAUUAGUAAGGGACCAAAUGCGAAAUUGGACCCAAAGUAGGGACUAAAAGUGUAAUUUUAUCCUUUUAUUUUUAAAGUGACACUAUAUAUAGCUUUUACAUUAGAUAUUUGAAAUAAUUAUAUUAUUUAUAUUAUAUAUAUAUAUAUAUAUAUAUAUAUAUAUAUAUAUUUAAUAUCGUUUAUAAUAUCAACCAUCUAAUUUUACAUUUUUUCUAUUAUCAUUAUUUUUUUAUUGUACAAAGAAAUGGUACGACCUAAGACAUAUCAUUUCUCUUAUUUAAAAGGACGACUGCAACUGCGAACAAUGCUUGCCAUAAAAAAUAAUAAUAUAAUUGUAAACGCAAUUUCAAAAUCCUAGGACGUUAGGACAACCAUUCGUUUAAAAAUGCACCUUAUCUUGAUAGUUAUUAGCAAAGAGAUAUGCACCACUCCUUUAGUAGGUAAGCGUACAGCGUACUCGUAUUUAAGGGAUAUAUAUGUAAAAAAAAUAUUGUGAAUCAGCGACUAAUUGGUAAUAUUAUUAAUUCUUAUAUUAAUUAUUUAAAAUUCAUAUUUAUGAUAAUUUUAAUGGGUUAAAAAUGAAAUAAGUUAUCAAAAGGUUAUUUGUAAUAUAUUGAAAAGUACCUACCAAAUUAAAAGCAGUUAUUGUUAUAUAUCUGACUAUGAUUUGUAGUAUAUAUAAUUAAUGUUAGAAACAACAAGAGAAGACAGAAAAUUGGUUAAGAUACGUAGGUUGUACAAGUAUAAAGUAAUUAAAUCACUAACUAGAUGCAAAUUAAAGUGGAGAGAGUGGAUUGCAUGACCAAUGAAAAACGGAAGAGAGAGAUUCAAAAUGGCAUAUUGGAAGAAGUUAUUAAGAGAUGUAUCUCAUUAACCGAGAGAUCGUAUAAUUAAUCAGUGUAACCAACCUCAGUAGAAUGAAGUUUUUGUUGUUUUUAUGGCGGAUAUUGCAUACACUUUUUUUCAUAUAUGAAAAAAAAAAGUGUAAUGUGAACUGUUUGACAGAAAUCAACCAAGCCUAUUUUCGUGUUUAAUUAAUUGUAACAAAUAGUUAUGUAUGCCAUUGUCAUAUAUUUAUUCUUCAUAUUUAUCUUGUAGUUCUCGUGCAUUAGAUUAGUAGUGUUCAAACUCAGGAGAUAGUUGAUAAAGAGGACACGCUGUGAUGAUUUGCUGGAAAUGCGAAGAACUUAAAAAACGAAUCGAACAUGCUUGUAUAACGAUUGAGAAAUGUUAUCUGAUCCUCUUUCUAACAUUUUUUUUAAUAUUCUUUUUACAAUCUAGUUAAAAUUUAUUUAAAAACAUUAAUUUUAAUAGAUUUCGACUUCUAAAUUAAGAAAAUAACAUUAAAAGAGAUAUGAAACACUAAAGUUGAUGAUUUUUAAUAUCUUUUAAUUAAUUUUAUAAAAAAAUGUUGAAUAAAGAGUGUUAAAGAAAAUAAAUGUCACCAAUAUUUUUCAACAAUUAAUUUUGUGAAAAGUAACAAUAAUAAAUGAGGAACAGGGACAAAAAUAGGUUAGGUCACCUAUCGACAGGUGGCCUAUGGCCAACCCUACUUAAUGCCUAAUGACCUGUUUAAUAAAAAGAACAAAUUAAGACUUUUUGAAGAUCGUAUUUAAAUAAAAAAAAUAAAGGUCAAGUUCAGGUAUUAAAAAAUACCUAUUAAAUUUACCAUGCCUGAUAAUUGAACACUUUUUAAAAAAUCAACAAAGAGGAUUAUAUUAAAUUGAAAGAGGUACCACAAUACAAAGAAACCAGCAGUGAACCUGGUUGUAAAUAUUUAUCCCAUACAUGAGAAAAAUAUUGCUAACUAGGAAAUAGAGAAACACCAGAAAGACUAGACGAAACACAAGCACACCCAAGAAUAAAUAUAGCAUGCACUCCUCAUUGUUCCCGCGUGACAUCAACCUGGUUCCUGCUGCGUGGUUCGUGCCUCUUUGACCUAGCUAGCAGUUCCAUUGGAGGAGGGCGAUGGGGUUUGGGUUUGGGUUUUGGAGGGAAGGAAAGGGGAAUGAGGAUGGAGGAAGAAUGUAGAGUGGUGAAAUCAUCGUCGUUUUAGAGUAUUUAAAGAGAGUUUCCUAAAAAUCAUCUUUGACAUGUUGACAGUUUUUAUAAAAUUAUUAUAAUUACACAAAUGAUGAUGUUUUUUUGCAACCCUCGUUCAGAUUGUGUCAUAAUUUUUUUUUUUUUAGUAGUAUCAAAAGUAAUCAAAUUGCAGCAGCAAAUCAAACCACUUCCUUAACAACAUCACCCACUUCGCAAUCCACUACCAAUACGCAAUACAAUAGUUCAUACAUAUCGAUCACCACCACCGUUCCCACAAACCUGCCAGUACUACACAUUUUUUUAAUAUGAUUAUCCGGUAAAAACUCUUAGUUAUAAUUUAUUACAGUGUUAUUUUAUUCUUUAACAUUUGAUUUACGGGUUUGUCUAAUUGACCAAAGUAAACAUAGGACUAAAUAAUCUCAUCUUCAAUGACCAUGGGCUCAAAAGUGAAACUGGUGAUUUAAUAUAAUUUCUGAUAUACAUUCAAUAUUUGAACAUUAAUCUAAAUGUUUGAAUAUAUUUUCAUCCCAAUCAUAAUUAUAGCAAUAAGCUCAAAUAUUAGUUUUAUUAUUCUCUGUUGUUUUCAUUAAUUAUCCAAUACUUUUUAACACGUAAUUAGGAUUUUUAAUUUAAAAUUCAAAAUUAAUGAUUUAAAGAAAUUAUAAUUUUUAAUCGAAUUCAUUAUACAAAAUACUUUUUUAAUGUUGGUAAUAUAUAGGAUAGGAGGAAAAUUUCAGUUAAAAAUAUAUUGAGGUUUAAAUUACAAAAAAAUAAUAUAAACAUAAAAAAUCUCUACCUGAGCAUAUAUUAAUUAAUAUUAAUAUUAAUAUUUAAAAUACAUCAUCUUUUUUUUUAUAUAAAAAGUACGUAUAAUCGAGUGCAUAUAAAUCAAUUUGUUAGAGUGUUGUUUUAAUUAAACCAUUAGUUUUAAUUCGAGUAUUAAUUGAGACCAAUACUUCGAUCAAUAUUAAAACACAAUAGGCCAGGAGAGUCGUGUUGCCCAAAGAGACGGAACUUUAGUUUAAAUAGGGUGAGUCAGACAUAGAAAACUAUCAUUAUUAAUAAAAAUAUAUCAAUUUAAAAUAAAAUAAAAACAAGCAAGAAAAACAUUUAAUAAUGCUUCUGAGGACUCAAAUUUCACGAGUUAAAUUUAUUUAUUUUCUUCACCCUUUCCAAUAUAUUAAGAAUUUCAUAAGCUACAAACUAGUACUAUAAGGUAGACAUGAUAAAAUUAGGACUACUUGUCGUCGGUUGGUUCUGGUUCUGGUUCUGGUUCCGGUUCCCAAGCAUGUGGUCUAACUCUUUCGCAAACCUAUUCAUAGAUUCGGUAGGCAACAAAAUCGGUAACACUAUGCCUUCUUCACCUUUCGCAUUCUUAUAGGAAACAUGAUAAGUUGCUGCAGGAAAGGUCCCAGCCCCAGCUUGGGCAACUCCACCAUACACAGCAUCACCCCACCCAAAAUCCACUUCUCUAAACCUAGCACGUGUCAAAUCCGAAAUAAUACAUGACCUCACGCUUGUGAAUGAGCAUCGUUCCUUAAUCACCAUUAAAUAUGCCACAGAAUGCAUAUACUCUUCUGUCACCUCACGUUUCAGUUUAUUGAUUAACUCCACCGCAUACCCAAAUGGAUUUCCACAAAGCUUCCCUGCAGUGGUGACUGCUGCGGGGAGUGCAACGGCAUUACCGUAGUAACCAACAGGUAAAGGGGGAUUGAACCUAGCACGUGCGUUGAUGAUGCACAUCAUGCGAACUUCCUCAUCUGGUUUCAUCUGCAACGCUUUUGUGCGACAACGCCAGAAGCAUGCUGUGAUGAGAUCAAACGUUGAGCAUUGACGAAGGUGGUGUGGAACCAAGCGACGAAUGGCAGCUAUUUCGGUGGGUCCAAAGAAGAAUGAUCGCUGAACCAUGUUAUCGUUCGAAGGGGUGAUGAUGGUGUCUUCGAGUUGGUCGUAUUCGCGAUGGCUGCAUGUAAUACGAGGUGGAUCUCUUGCCCUUAGAAGCUCCCUACGCCACACAGGUGCGAUGGAAGGUUUGGUAGCAUGACUUCGAGCCAUUUCAGACCAAGCGUUCAUGAACUGUGAUAUACCACCUGCGUCUCCAAUGGUGUGGUUGAAGCGGAAGGCCAAGAUGAAACCAUCACACUUGAGUCGUGUCACCUGUAUGUAUAAGAUUAUAUUAAUUUCCACCAUCAAUAAAUUGACAAAUUCUACUCCCACCAUACCUUUCUAUUUGGUUAAAUUAUUCAUAAAAAAAUGCUAACGAAUACCCUGAGAAUCCAGGUUAUGGAGUCUAAGAUGAUUUUUUUUUUAAUAGAAAGUAUAACUACAUAUCAUUUGGUGAUUUCCAAUGCAACUUCAAUAAAAAAAAAAUCAUUAUACUGUAAUUUUUUAACUAAUAUCUUAAAAGACACUUAUUAACGAGACUCACUGUUCAUUGGUGGUUCAUGUGUAUAGUUGUUUUUAUUUUAAAUUUUUAUACAAGAAAUUUAAUACAUAUAAUAGUCCUUGUUUAAUUUUUUCUAUAGUAAUUUAUCCUCGUCAAAAAGGUUUUUUUAACAGUUUUAGAUUGACAAAUUAUUUUUUGAUAUUAAAAUCAAGAAUCAAAACUUAACUUCCUAUGUAAGAAUAUUAAAACUUAAGUUUUCUCUUAUAGAAAUAAAACUUAGAAUAAAAAUAUUUAUAAGAUCAAAUAAAUACUUUAACUUUUUAUUAUCGUUAGUUAAUACAAAGAAAAUGAAAGAAAGAAACAUUAACAGAAAAAAUAUAAAGAGAAAAAAUCAACUAUAUGCAAUAAUAUAACUCUAAGAAAUUAAUUGAAGUUUAAUAUAUAUGUGACAAUUCUUUCAUGUUAAAAUUCAAGGUUAUCCUUCCAUAUUUUCGUUGUAAAUAUUUAUAAAUUUAUAAAAAUCGAAAGUCUACUAUAUAAAUUUUAUGAAAAAUUAAGGAUAUAGAAUCAAAAUUUAUAAGAUCAUAUAAUUAAAAUUUUAACAAUAUAUUUUGAGUGUCUUGUUAUGCAAUUUGCCUAUGUCGUUUUUAGAAUUUUCAUGUGGCUUUUGAACUUUUUUUUUUUUUCUUUGUACAAAGAAGUGGAUAAAUUAAUAAAUUAUAAACAAUGUGUAUUGGACCUGUAUGAGUAGAAGGGGAGUGUUAGUAAUUUCUUCAGUCUCUGGAACAUUAUAUAGAAGUUCUUGGAAGCAUGGGAAUGGAGGUUGGAGAGCUUCACCACCAAACUGAUAAAGUGUUACGUCUGCAUCAGCCUCAAUGAACAUGACGCCCUCCCCAGUACAAUCCACCAUUAAUUUGCGGUCAGGGCCCUCCCUAAGCCUACCGGCAAAUGGGUAAUAGAAAACAAGUGUUUUUGCCAGUGCCUGCCGAAUGACUUCAACAGGGUCUUUCCCUGCCAUUGAUGGUUGGUUAUGAUAAAUCUGAAUAAUUGGAACCUGGAAACGAAAGCCGUCUUGAUCAUCUAUGUCGGAUAGUGGUUUAAGUUGGUGAGGAGUGGGUGUAGCAGCCAGCAGGAGCCACCAGCUCAGGUUGGCACCUUCGCACUGUGAACCUUAGAGAAUUUGGAGGUGACGAGGCCAUGCUAAGGGAGAACGAUCGAGAGUGUUAUUUUCUGGGCUAGGACUGCUACCCUUUUAUAAACGGAGUAUACAUUGCCAUAAAAAAAAUUUGAAAUUAAUCAUAAUUUCAGAAUCGUGGGACUAAUAUGUUUCACGUUUUCUUUUUGUUGGGAAAACGUCAGUGUUAAUUAAAGCCUUAAAGUCAUAAUUCACGGGUAUGAAAAAGCAUGGCAUCUUCCAUGCGUCCAAAUAUCGUGGUUGCUAAUACUCCUGUCCAUUAAAAAAAAAUUAAAUGCCAUUAUAUUCCUAAGUAUCAUUUAAUUAUAAAUUAUUAUUUAGAUAAUUUUAAGAUGUUUUUAUAAAAAUCAAUCAAUUUUAUCAUUUAUAAUAAUUUAUAAUUAAAUAAUAAUAUAAAAUUAUUUUAUAUUAUCAAUGUAUAUCUAAUUUAUCAAAGAGAAAUUAUUAAUUAUUUUAUUUUAAUUAAUAAUAUUACUCAUAAUUUAAGGAAUUUUAAUUUUUUUCGAUGAGUAUGUCUUAUAUUAUUAAUAUUCUAAUAAAUAGUUAAAUGCAUGUAGACUUUUAUGAAAAAAUGAGUGGAUCUUUCAUUAAUAGACCUAACAAUAAGUUAAGAGUAUAAAAAAAAUUUAAUAAUUAUUCUCUCCGUUCCAUAAUAAUAUUUAUAUAAAAAGAAAAAAAUUAUUCAAAAAUAAUAAUUGUUUUAACUUUUCAAUGUAACAUAAAUUAUUUUUUUCACUUAUAUCCUUUAUAAAAUUAAUUAUACGAGUUAAAAAAAACUAAAAAUGAUUUAGUGAUAACAAAGUUAAUUAAUUUUGUAAAUUAGUAUUCUUUUUUAUAUAUUUAUUAGUUUUUUUGUUUGUAUAAAAUAACCUUGUACCCGCAAUUAUAUAUAUGAAACGGAGGUAGUAUUAAUUUGAAUGUGAUCAUACGUUUCUUAUAGGAUGGAGGGAGUAUUAAUAAUGCCAUAAAAAAAAAUUGUAAAAGUGCAAUAUCAAAAUCAGAGUCAAAGGACCGUGCAUUUAACGCCUUAUCUCGAUAGAUAGUUAGCAAAGCAAUAUGCACCACUCUUUAUUUUUGUUAGGUAAACAUUCACACUUAUGGGAGAUGGUUUUUUCUUUUUGUAUUUUUAUUGCUUAAAUGUCUAACCUCUAAUAAAUAAAUUUUUAAUAAAUAAUGACUUUUCUAAAAUUAUUUAUUAGUUUUACACUAAAGCUAAAAUGAAUUUUCAUUUUAAAUUAUACAAGAAGGAAAUAGAUGCAUUAAGCAACUAUCCUUAUAUAGUUGUCAACCAACUGUUUUAUUCUAAUUGUUUGAUUCCUACACCAAUACAUUAUAAUACACUCGUUACUUAAUUAGUUAAUGUUAGACAAAUUGUGUAAGUGAAGUCUACAUGACGUAGAAAUUUCUCUAAAUUAAGCUUAUGGGUUUUUCGACCAAGACUUCAAAACUGGAUACUAUUAUCUUGUGUACGCAAUGAGCUCAAGAUAAAUUACAUGUAGAACAAAAGAAAAAUGUUGCCAAAGUUUUCAACAAAACUUAUAAUUAAAGUCUGAAUAACAACACUUCAGAAUACCAUAGCUGAGAUACGUCUAAAAUGACUGCAAUUCAUUCAUGUGUUGAUACAUAAUUGUAAAGCUUAAGCAAGUGAUAAAUUAUCAAUAGUAGAAGUUGAAUAUUUUUACCAUGUGAUCAGCCGCCUCCUCAAACAAAUUUUUCUAGUUCAAUCCUGAUUGGCAGUGAAUAUUGAGGUUUAAAGAGAAUAAAAAAAAAAAGAAAAAAGUAAAAGUAAUAUAAAUGAAAAUGUUAAGAUCAUGUGCUCCCACAAAUAAAGAUAGAAUAUAAAAUGAUUGUAUAUAUGAUGAGAGUGCGGCAACUAUUGGGUAAAAAAUUAAAUGACUAAAAAUUAGUUAAAAGGGUAUAAACACAUACAAAGAUCAUAGAAUACACCAGUAAGAAGAGAAUAUUACAUGACUUUUAAUUAAGGGUGUUUGCAUAUAGUUUGAUUUGAUUUUUAGAUAAAAAUUAUCUGAACUAAAUAUAAAAUAAAGAUGUUGUUUGAUAUAAAUAUAAUAUCAAAUCUAAAUCAAACCAAAUCAAACUUUUGUGAUUUGGUUUGAUUCAGUUUAACAAUAUUUUUUAUUUUAUUAUUAUAAUUUAAAAUUUAUCCACUAAAUUUAUAUAAUUAUUAUGUUAUAUUAUUUUAAAAAUGAAAUUUAUCCUUUCAUUGAUUUUUUAAACAUAUUUUAUUUUAAAAAUAUUAUUUUCACAUCUAUUUAGCAUUAAUAUAAAAUAAUAUUACAAAUUUUUUAACAUAAUAGUAAUUUAUACUUCACUUGAUAUUUAAUUCUAUUUUUUAAUAAUAUUAAUAUAUUCUUUUUUAAUAUGUGGAAGUGAAAUAUGUAUCUUGGUUAUAAAGUAAAGAAAAAUUAAUAAAUUAUUUGUUACUUAUUAUUAGUUAUCACAAUAAAAAUCAACAUAAUUAUAAUAUGAUUUAUUUGAUUUGAUUCAUAUUUUAUAACAAGAUUCGAAAAUUGAACUAAACUAUAAAAAAAUGCAAUUUUUUAUAUUUUUAGAUUUUAUAAUUUUCAAUUUUUUGGAUCAAUUUAAUCAUUUGUGAAUGAUUUGAUUCAAUUUUAAAUACUCCUACUUUUAAUUUUAUAAAAGAGAGAGAAACAUAUAUAACAAAAUCAAUAUUGAAGUUGUCAUGAGAAAUAUUAUUGUGAAUAAUAUUUCUGAAGAACUGGUCUUUAACGAAAUUAAAUGGAAUUGUGUAAUUCAUCUCACUGAAUCAAUCAGGCUUUUUCUUUUGUUUAGAUGUCAACUAAUGCAUACAAUUUUUUUCUUUUCAGAAAAUGGAGUAAUGGGAAUCCUUUGACAGAAAUAGACAAGUCAUUCGGCAAUUGCUUCUUGCAUUCCGUGAAUUGCUUUAUGCACUUCCCAUAUUGCUUUCAAAAUUAUCAUUCCAAAAUAAGAGUAUUUAGUGUAAGGGUCAACAUGUGAUUUAACCCAAUCCAAUGACACUAAAUUUGGUUUCUAAAGUAUUUGAAUCAUCUAACCUGAUUAAGACUUGAUCAUAAUCAGAUUGGAUAACAAAUUCUUUUUUUUUUAAUCUGACCAGUCCAUACCAUAUAAUUUAAUUUAUUAUUAUUAUUAUUAUUAUUAUUAUAUAUAUAAAUUAUUAAACAUAAAACACAUUAGUAAUUUGUAGCUUACAUAGUUUAUAAAUUAAACCAUCCAUAUUUUUUUUUUCUUUUUUAAGUUGUUUUUAUUCUUGUCUUGAUUUUAUUUAUAUUUUUACAUACUGAUAUCAUACUUUAUUUCUAUCUAAAAUAAAAUAUCUAUUAACAUUGAAAUCAUUAAUUCUAUUAGUCAAAUAUUUUUAUAAUUUGAUCCUUUUUUAGUGCUUUUAAUCAUUAUAUACUUAAAAAACUUUAGAAAAAAAUAAAUUAUGAUUCUAAUUUUUUUUUAAAAAUAAAAAUAUAUGGACUCAAUUAAUCCAAUUCAACAUAAUCCAUUUAUGAUUAAGUUGGAUUGGAUCUAAAUUUUUUUACAAAAACUCAACUCAACCCAAUCCAUAGAUAUUUGAUCCAGUUGAAUAAUAAAUUUAGUCAAAUUCAACUCAAUCCAAACUGUGCAUCCUUUCUUUUGGAGGUAACAUGGGAAGUCCACGAAGCAAUUCUGAAAAAACACCCGAGUCAUUCGUAGCAUUCUCGUCUUUAAUUUUGACAAAUAGUAUUGAUAUGGUGUCAUUGUCAUGUGUUAAUUCUUCACAUUUUCUUGUAGUUAUGGAGUUUUAGACUGGUAGAGUGGUAGUGUCCUAAGCUUGGAUGGAACUAAAUAUAAGCCUACAAGUUAAUCGUCCUUAUGAUAAAAAAAUCUCUUAAUAGUUGGGGGGGAAAAAUCACCCUCCUUUAAUAUUCUCUGUCCCUGAGUGGAAAAUAUUCUUUUUUAGCAAACCUAUUAUUUUUUAUUCCGUCCCAUAGUUCAAAAUAAAGGAACCGAUAGAAACCACAAAUUGUGAUAAUUUGAUGGAUGUUAAAAGAGUUAAAAAAAAUGAUCAAGGCUUGGGAAAAACUAACUUUGGAUGAGAGCAUUGAAUCUAAGUCAUACAAUUAUAGAUAAAAGAUUUAAUGUUAUCUAAUUAUUUUUUUUUAAAUGUAACUUUUUAAUAUUAUCUUUUUUUUAAUACAUGAUCUUGCAUAUUUUCUUAAAAGGAUUGCAUAGUGACUAAAGUUAUUAAACUAGCAACUGUUAUUUUUUGGUCAUUAUAUGCAAAAAUAAUGUUUAAUUAUUAUUUUUGUCCUCUAAUUUAUUUUUUAAGUUUAAUUUACUCCUCUUAUCAUUAAAAGGUUUAAUUAAGUGCUAUAUUUUUUUUAAAAUUUAAUUAAGUCCUUUAAAAUUAAAUUUGAUAUUUUUUAAAAAAAAUAUGAAAUAAUAAAAAUAAAAUCAAAUUAAACUUAUUUUAGAAAAUAAAAGUUUAAAUCUUGGCAAAAAACCACACCAAAAGCAUUUUCUUAAAAAGAAAUAUAUUAUUAAUAGCGUCAGUCCAAUCAACACUAAAUUUUCAUUUAAGAAGAAAAAAUGGCUUCAACUAAGUGUUGAUUGGACCCACCUCUAAAUAAUAAUUCUUUAAAAAAUAAUUAGUGUAAGCCACAACUCACGUUAUUUCCGAUACUAAGUAAAAGAUAAUUUUAUAGUGGCUAAAUGAUUAUUUUGGUUUUUUUAGUUUGGUUUUCAGUUUUUUUUGUUACAAUUAAAAAUUUAUUUUGAUUAUUUAUUUUAUUUUAUGUAAAGUAAUAAUUUAUAUUUUUAAGAGUUUACUUAAAUCUUUUGUUUUAUUUAAAAUAUUCAAAAUCAUCAUUCAACUAUUAUAAAAAAAAACAAAGCAAGUGAUAAAAAAAACAAAGCAGAAACAAAAAUAAAUUAGUUGUACCUAAUAAAGAACACCUGGGGCCAAAUUAUUUAAAAUGAUGAUUUGAAGGACAAAGUUGAACGAUUAUUUUGAAUAUUUUAAAUAACAUAGCAAAAUAAUUUUUUUAAAAUAUAAAAGAUCAUUUUAAACAUAAAGAACUAAAUGACCAUUUAGCCAUAACAUUAACUAAGCCUAUGCUACAUUUGUUUUUUUGAAAAAAUAUUUUUAUGGCCAACACUAGUUUUAUAUAUUAAUAUCAGGCAUAGCGUCAAUUAAUUCCAGGCUAAAUUUAAUUUUUGAAAAGAAUUAUUAUUAUUAGCCUUAAGCCCUCAACACUAUCAUAGUCAAGCUUUAUUUAUUUCAUUUUCUCUCUUUAAAUAUUUGCUUAGAAAACAAUGAAAAAAAGCAAUAAACUUGUUUAUUGCUUUUUUUCAUUGUUUUCUAAGCAAAUAUUUAAAGAUAGAAAAUGAAAUAAAUAACGCAACAUUGAUGUAAUUAUUUGUAAAAGAAAAUGACAACAUUGGUUGCCGAAACCAAUUACGCAUCUAGUUUCUAAAGGAAUCUAAAGUAUAACGAAUGAGACUUGUUGACAAAUCUUUGCAUGAUUAAUUUCAAACACGAGCACCGCGUUGAUGUCUAUGCAAGCAAUUGAAAAAGAAAAAUGCCUAUGAUGAAUGUCAUAAUGAAAGGAAACUGGAAUAGAAAUUCUAAUGAAAAUAUCAAUUUGGACCAUCAUAGGAAUCUUUAAAAAAAAUAUAAAAACACCAAGUCUAAUUUAAUAUCCAUUAACACCUUAAAGAGUUCUAUUGGAAUCCAUUUCAUAUCCAUUUAAAAUUCUGUUUCAUUUCACAAUGAGUCAGUUACCAUGAACCUUCAGCGCCCACAGUUGGAUUCUUGAAGGCAGAGAACUCCCAGUACGUUUUCAAUGAGAAUGGUGGGAAAACAGUGGCACCUUCAUCUGUAAUUUUAGAUAUCUGCAAACAGUGGCACGUUAGACUAAAUAUCAUAAAUUCAUAAUGCAAGAUAAUAAACCUUCAACUCAACUGGAGAUUAUAUUAAGAGUGCUAAGAUUUUUCAUAGUAAAAAUCCGACAACAAAAGAAGGAAAUCAGGAAGCAAAGUCAUUUUAGUUCAGAUCCGAGCCUCAAUCCUCAGAUACACAUUAUAGGAAGGGUUCGGAUUAUAUACAGUUUAGCAUUCAAGAACUGUAAUGUAAGCAGCAGUCAUUGACUAUCAUAAACUCAUAAUAAUGACCACCAACACUCUACAGAAUUGGCACAGAAAAGAAAUUGAAACUUUUACAUAGAUGAUAUCCUUCGAAACAAGAUUAGCAUACACAACUAUCGGGUAAUGACAAGCAAGCAACCAUAUUCCGGAUCCACACGUUCUUUCACACAAGUACAAUACAGCAUAUUCCAAUUUGCUGUCUAGAAACCUACUAAUUUUUCCUAUCCCAUGUGCUACAAGUGGAGUUAGACCCAAUAAGCGUGCAACCUCAAGUAGAGAAGAGUAGAAAUCGAUCUAGGUAGCAUGAGGUAUUGCUUACAGCUAAAAUCCUACUAAUGAACUUUCUCACAAAUACUUCAGCCAAGAGAAUUGGGUGUCUUGGUCAGUUAGAAACUUGCAUAGGAUAGUAGCCAGGAUCUCUCAAAUAUGUCUGGCAUUGCAUGGUAGGAGCCUGCACCUUCCUUGGGUACAAGAGUACAGAGUAUGGAUUAAUUGUAUUACUGAGAGUGAAAAUUCACAGAUUCUCAACUAAAGCUUUUAUUUCUUGAUUCAACUGUUUGAAGAAGUGCAGCUAGACUGGGCCAAUAUGUUCUAUUCAUUGAAACUAGUUUCCAUACACCACGAGUAAUUUAUGAAGAAAAGAAAAUAUAAGCAUGAAGUCUCGUGUAAAUAGAUGAUGCACAUACAGUCUGAUUCCUUCAUUUUCCCAUAUUGUCUAUUACUUCCUCGUUUCAAAUAUAAACCUCUUGGAACAGGGUGAGACACUGAGACUUGCUUGAAUCAGAAAUUUCACUUGUUUGAAUAAUAACUAUGUUCUGUACAGGUCCAGAAUUAAAACUUCCAGCACAGUUUAAAAAACUCGAUUUUAUGGCAUGUGGCAUAGGAGAAAAUAAUUCCAAAAAAAAAGGUCAAAUCAUUCAAUAACCCAACAAAACGUAGCUAGGAUGAUACUCAAUAUAUAAUUGGAGAAAGACCCUAUAGAAGCAAAGCUAGCUUGUGAUCGAUACAUAUAGGAGUACAUGAAUCAAUAAUUCAGUUGUCUUGUUUUUUUUUUUAAAACUGUCAAAACAGUUUGCAAACACAUGAACUGAACUGUUCUCUGACAGACAGUUUGGUUCUAUAAAACUUAACUUACAAAAUAGUUCAGUUCAGUUUUUUACAAUAGUAGUUUAAUUUUAUACAGUUAAGUUCAGUUGAAGUUCUCAAUUAAUUCAGUUCAAAAUAAUUUUUGAACAGCCCUAUAUAACCAGACUGUGAAUGUUCACUCUCAGUAAUGCAAUUCGAUCUUUAUCUUCAACCUCUAAACCAGUUCUAACUAUAUGUUUUGAUAAAAUGUUAAAUGGAGAGGGGGAGAGGAGAGCAUAGCAAAAGCAAAGAAUAUUAGAGUAGAGAAAAACAAGAAAAGGAACAGUGUAAAACCUGGAUUUUGUUGACAGCAGACCUAUCACGGUAUAAAAGCACACGCAUGCAUUUUUCCAGUAACUUGACGCCCUCUUCAAAGGUCAAGUUUUCAUGCCACUCAUCACGGAGAAUUGGCCUAGCGAGAUGAUUUCCAAGCCCGGUUGCUACAUGGUUGUCCUCAAAAUUAAUGCCAAUCAUGUUAACCUGGAUAAGAUGCAAAGAUUUAGUUAUUAAAAGAAAAACUUCCAGGUAAACGUUUACAAAAAACAAAGACAAAGACAUACCAUGCCAAGGUACUUCUGCCCGUUUUUCACCCCACCAAGUACAAGUGCAUUCCACAAUGGGUUGAACUUGUUACGUCUAUUAUACAUCACACGGGUUAAAUAAUUAUGCACCUCCUUCGGCCCUAGAGAAUUCCCAUCAUCCCACAUGUUGUCAUAUAGGCUGCACAUUCAAAACUCAAAACCAAACAGUCAGAUGGGAAUUUUGAAGUUGUAGACUUGUAGUAUUGAAAAGGUUUAAGGGGAAAAAAUACACAGAUGGAAUUUUUUACUGCGUUUGAAACAAAAUAAAUAGACAAGCCAAGCAAGGAAAACAAAGCAGACCAUCAUUUAACUCAUCACAUCUUUCUGCCUUAAACUUAUUUAAGAUCACCAGUGCAUACUGAGUAACAAUUAAUAUUAAAAGGAAAAAGUACUCACAUAAGCUCAUCAAGGUAACGCAGAAUCUCCUGAAAGUCACUUAUCUCCCCGCUAGCACCAAGAAGAGAAUGCUUUCCAAUAGGCUUGAUACGCUCAACACUCUUGUACCGCAGGGUAGAUCCAUACGAACCUAUCAAUAUAUCCCCCAUUGACAUGAUACGCAAAAUGAUUUCAAUACUUAAAAGCACCAUUAAUCUAUGACGAAAUUUGCAGAGAUAUGGCACAUUUGUGAAUCAGAAAUCAACAAUUAAAACCAGCGCCAGUAAGGAAUCAAAUUGAAUUUCUCCAUAUAUAUAUAUUUUUUUACUUCAAAGAAAACAAAAGACUAUGGGAAAUCAAUUUCCAGAAUAAUCAGAUUAAGAGCAAUUUAACACGAAGAUAAAAACCAGAUUAAAUAUCAGACCUCCCAUGUCAGCGGCCAUUAGAAUCCCAUCUUUGUAUUUGAUAGCGACUACAGAGGAUCCAGUCACGUAUGGGUACCUAAGGGUUAAAACAAAAAUUAGGGCAAAGUAAUAUGCAUUUAAGAGUAAAAUCAAACUAUUCAGUGUGAAAACCCUAAAAUCGAAAAAGUGAGCAUCAUCGAGGAAAAAGGAAUGGAGUAAGAGGGAGAUAGUGUACGUACAGAGUUCGCUCGGAUUCAGCUACACGUUCCAUCGCGACGAGUGUCUAUCACUUGGAUCGUCGUCGCAGUCUUGAAGAAGAAGAAGAAAGAAAACGCAGAGAACGAAAAUGGUAGAAUAAUAGUGUGCCCAAGUAUGAUUCACCGCAAAACGACGUCGGUUCCAAAGUGCAAUUUCGUAAGCCACAAUCCAAACCAAAAUACUGUCCUGUGCUUAAAUAAAAUUUUCUUUUAGUUAAAAAUAUUUUUAAAAUAAUUCUUAUAAAUUAUUACUUUUAAUCAUAAUUAUAAUCAUAAAUAUAAUUUUAAAAGGAUUUGAGUUAUGUAAAAAAAUAAAAAAUAAGUUUGGAGUUAGUAAAAGAAAUUCAUGAAAAAAAAUGAUUUUUCAAUCAAUUCAAAUAAAAACAAAUUAAUAUAAAAAAACAAAAUAUUUUUAUUACAUAUCAAUUAAGUUUAAAUAGUUUUUCCACUUCCACUAAAUUUAACUAAUUCUUUUUGUUUGAAUAAUAUUAAAAUGCACAUCAAUAUAAUAUUUCAUCUAAUAAAGUUAUUGUGUAAUAUAAUUCUAAUUCUACUAACACAUACAAUUAAAAUUUUGUAAUAACAUUGAUAGAGUUUCAACUUAAUGGAUGAUGUCGUGUUUGAAUCUGAUUAGAGUUGUCAAAAACAAAUCCAGUCCAAUGGAUUGAACUAGGCCGUAAAAAACAUGACCUAAGUCAAAUCGGGUGUUUCGGCCCGACACGUUUAGCCCAUUGUGUGUAAUAACAGAGGUGUAAAUAGCAAGAGCCAUAUUUUUUUAUUGAAUAGGGGCCGAGAAGGCCAUAUCUUAAACCAUUGGACCCAUGUCAAAUUGUCAAUGCAAAAGUUACACAGAAUAUCUUUCACGUUAUUGUUGUCAUUUGACAUGAAAAAUUGAGAAAUGUGCUGCAAACACGCUAACAAUUUUUUUGCACACCAAGGGACCAUGCAGCAAGAGCUCCUAAAGCCUGAAUUCCUUAGAAAAUGUGCAAAUUCCAGUGACAAUUUCUGAAAAAUCAAAAGAAAGAAGUCUUAGAACACCAUAUUUAAUCAAUAUUAAAAAAAUAAAAAGCAGAUAUAAGAAUAGGAAUCGUAGAAUUUUUUUUUUGGACAAAAGAAUCAUAGGAAUUAAUGGGCGUAAAAGGCUAGUAAGUUUAAUCUUUAUAGUAUAGUUUCAAAAAUCCUAUCUGAAGUGUACUCAUAAGCUUUUUGAUAAACAAACAUACUUCUUGAUGCUGUGAUGGGAAGUAGGGGGCAUAGUUAGAUUGGUUGGUUACUUGUCUGCUGCCUACAGUAGUGUUAGCCAAGGAUGUUUAGGCUGGGGUUGCUUGUACAGUUAGCCUUUAUUUGGGGAUUUGAGGCCCAUUGUGUUGUACCAGACAUCAUAAGUAGUAACAAUAGCCAAGGUAACUUAACUCUUGUCUCCUUUGUUAGUGUAAAAAGAUUUUGAUUUAGCAAACAUGAGGAACCAGUAUCCUCUGUUCUAAUUGGAAAUUUUGCAAGCUUUGUUUACAUAGAUACAUAGAUACAACAAAUAGAAAAUGUAAAAUAAUAUUAACAAAACUUUAACAAGCACUCAAUUGUCUUUUUUUUAUUAUUAUUAUGUAUCUUGAUCUUUCUGUUGCUUUACAUAUAGACAUUGUUCAUAUGUUGGUUAUUAUCGACUUGUAGGCUCUAAUUACCAAUAAUCACCAAGGACUUGUAGCUCACUUAAUAAUUAAUAGAGGAAAAAUGACAAUUAUACGGGUCCCAUUAAUCAUUUGAACAAUGAUCCUCCACUAUUAUAGCACCUAAAUUGGCAGAAACUUCAUCCCUGACACAGGUAUCCUCUUCAAUGCACCUUUAAAUGUGUAAUCAAUGAGUGGUCUUGAGUCACAUAUAGUUGAGUAAGGAUGACAAUUAUCUCCAUUCUAAUUCGGCCAGUGAGCCUUGGAUGAACAACUAAAGAGUAUCAGUGUAUGUUUGGACACAUUACAUAUGCAUGAAUAAGCUACAAAUCAAGUCAAAUUUGCUCAUUAAGGUAGAAGCUACGAAUUGUUGUUAUGCUUGAAGUCACAUAACCAAACACGCCAUCAUUUGAAUGAGUUUUUUCUUUUCAGACUAUGCAGCAUUUUCCUUUAAGCAUUUACUACAUUUAUAAUUGGUUCGGUACAAUUGUCUUCAUCUUCACGUAACUUGCUUAUGAGUUAUUUCUCUGAUUGGACUUAAAACAACAGAUGUCCUUUUGAUCCAGUUAUCAACAAAGAUUGAAAAUUGAACAAUUUCAUACGACCUGACAAAAGCAUUCAAGUAUUCAACCUAAAAAAAGGUUGUAAAGUGAUGUCCCUUAAAGGAACUGUCACAGUAAUACACACAAUUUUACAUGUAUAAUUGGAAGCCGAGGGAGUUUUGCAUUUCGCCUUGAAAGAUAGACCAACAAGACAAAAAGGAGAUGUGUACCUUUAGUAUAACCAAGUUUAACUAUCAUUGAAUCAACUCCCAGUCAAAGUAACGAACUUUUAAAGUCUCCUUCUUGGCAGUUAAAUUCCAUCUUAUACACAAACACUCACAAUUUCUUGCCAAGCAGUGUUUAGAGACUAAUAUUCUCUUCAUUUUUGUGUAUUAUUAUUAAUUUUUAAUUACUAACAUUAGUUAUUAAUUUACUAUAUUUUGAGGCACUGUCAUAAAUGUGUCAUUCUUGUUAAAUACUACUCAAAUUGCAUUAGUUCAGCCUCACACCUGAAUCCUGAUUAACUUAAAUCAAACACAGAUGCAAGACCAAAAAACAAAAAAAUCAAACACGGAUGAAGAUAGGUUAUGCUCUUCAAGACUGGGGGAAUAACAACUUGCCAUUUGUUUGCUAUAGGCAGAAAUUUUACACAAAUUGAAGUGUCUAGAAGAAUGAAAUCUCAAGUUCGUGUUGAAGGGAGAUCCCACAAUCAAUAAGUAUUCUUCCAAGCCAUGCUUUUGACUCUUUGAGUCAUAUAAGUAAUACCAAAAAUCUGAUAAAUGUUGUAUCCAAAAAGAGAGCAAAUGUUGUAUGUGUGAUCAUAGUACUAGUAUGGCUGUUGGUUCGAAAAACGUUCAAAUAUUCUUCGUUCUUGAGGGCAAUAAAACGACACAUUUAAGCAAGGGUAUACCUCGUCUGAUAUAAUGUGCUCCAAUUCAACUUUCUUGAUAAUAUAAUAGGAUUGUCCUUUGGUUGGGAAGAUCCAAUAUUUGCGCACAUGCAAUUUUCGGCUAAAGUCAUUUCAUUUUUUACUUCUUUAGUGAAUACAUGGCACGAGGAGGGAAAUGAGAAGAAGAAUUUUGCUUUUCUUUGGUUCAGCUUCAUAGACACAAGGACAAUUGAUCAUUCAUUUUUAGGCAUUCCCUUGCAUGGUUAUUCAGAACAAUCAUAGUAUGUAAUAAUAACGUAGCAUGCCCUCUAACAGUCAUAGUAGUGUGCGUUAUUCAUAUAUGAUAAAUCUCAUAAAGUGAUAGGUAGUACUGCAUAUCCAGUGAACAUAGAAGAAAUAAACAACAGAAACAAUUGACCAUGAUCCUAUUCUGAUAUGGAUGAUAUAGGCUUGAAUGCUUGAUGGCUAAACCCAAUGUACAAGAAUUCACUUAUGCUGAUAUGCUCAUAUGUAAUUCAUUUAAUGUAACAAAUACUUUUCCCUUGGACUCCACCUGAUUUCGAAAUUCUUUAUUUGUUCCUUCAAUAUGAAUUCCUUCCAAAUUUCUGGCGUGUGAUUGGCGAAACAUGUUUCUUUUGUGUGUGUUCCAGAGAAAGAAAAAUAUAAACCAUGUAUAAACUGCGGCAAAAUAGUCAGUCAUAAGUCAGAAGCCAAGUUAGUCCCACAACGAUUAACUUAUAAGAAUGCACGUUGACAACAUUGUAUAAAUACGGACCAACCAGCAACCUUAAAACAUACUUACCUGGAUGGGGUCAAUGGGUGAUCAAAAAGGCCCAUGGCCUAGGUUGGUGGCCUCCAUUGCACUUAGGAGGGGUGCCCACCUAAGGUCUCCCCAAGUGGGAGAGCCUACAUCAUAAUUUGUGCUAGUGGGGGCCUGCGUUCGCGCGGCCCCCUUCGAUUAAGUUCAAGCUUUUAUGACAUCAGUAUCAAUUUACGAUGUCUUGUAUACUUCAAUUAAGUUUUAGCUUUUACUACGUGUGCAUUAAAAGGCUUCAUUUUAUAAUAACCUAUCCAAUAUAUAUGUAUGUCCUUUUAAACUGAAAGGAAGUUAAAUUAUAAGGCUAUAUAAUGAAUUUUAUUUGAUUUUGCAGACUGUAUAAGCUCGGCUUCCUCCUUGACAACGUAUGUGUCCGUGGUAAGUAAUGUCCCCUAAAGCUAUCAAAAGCAUGCACCACAACAAUAAAGGGAAAAGCUCAUUUUAAAAUGUAUUUGUAUAAGUUAAAUAUAAAUGUUGAAUUUAUUCUGUCUCAUGCAUUAAUAAUUUCAUUAUGAACUCAAGGGACGGGUGGGCUUGUUGGGAUGGCUUCAUCUUUAGUUCAAUAUAGGAAAUCAAAAUAAAUAUAACUAAUAAUGAGCAUUGAAUAUAUAUAUGCCCACGGCUUUUUCUUUGGAAAUUUUGAAGGUUCAAAUGAUUUUUUGAGAAGUGGAACUAUGGUUUCUCUCUUUCCCGCAGAGAAAGAAUGUCUACUCUCAAUACUAAAUUCUUGUUUCUUUUUUAAUUCACUCAUUUUCAGAAUUAUUAUACACAAACUAGCUUGAAAAUUUUGUGCCCAUUGUCGAAGACUCCACCAUGACUAAGGGUCUAAGCCCCAUCGAAUAAGUCCCAUAUCACUUAGAAAAGAUGAAAAUGACUCCAGAGCUUAUUAUAAAAUAAACAUUUUUACACUGUUAUAUUCAUACCUUUCUCGGCCUUUUGGCUAAGAUCAAGUGUAGUAUCUGUUCUUAUCAGUUUAAUAUCUGAUAUGUGGACCAUUGGUCCACACGAUAUUAAAUUACUUUUUUGAAGGGGAGGGGCCAAUACAGUAGCUUGCUACUGGGUCUCUCAUGGGUCGCCCAUGUGUUGCACUAUUGCUUGGGCCUGGCGCAC
rnacentral:lncRNA from 1 species